rnacentral:lncRNA from 1 species
CAGCCCCUUCCCGAGAUCCACUACUACUCCUCCUCCAUACCGCCUCUGCCGGCAGCGGGCUGCACGAAUCAUCUCCAUCAACACCUGCUGCUCCCCCACGCACCGAAGAAAUCAAGAACCAAGGAACGCGAGCACGACGACCACCUGCAACAUCCUCCCCUUCUCCAAGUGCUGCUGCCCUCUCCUUUGGUUAAAUCCCCACCGAACUCUCUCUCUCUCUCUCCUACUUGUUGCUUGCUGUUUGUGUGUACAAGAACUGAGAAAGAACAUGCUGUUGAUCUUUGGAAAGUUAGCUGAGCCUUGCACUGUGUUAAACUCUCUCUUUAGCUUCUGGCCGAUGUGUGCACUUAAUUAUUGUUCUAUGUUAUAAUCUACUCUGAUAUUUGUGAAUGUGGCUGUGUGUAUACUUGUUGAUGUGUUUCGUGCAAUUUUCUAUCCCUAUCUAAAAACUUGCUUCUUCCCAGUCUUAUAUGUUUGCUGGUGAAAUUACUUUCUGUCAAUAUUGUUCUUUGUCUUUGCUUCUGCCCCUGUCUUUGAUGUAUGCUUGUCUUAGUGUUUUAGAUUCUAAAGUAAAUUGAAAAUACCAAAAAAAUAUUGCAGUCAUUCUGUACCUUGAAUCUCAUAAUUGUUUCUAUCCUUAUCUUGGAUAAUUGCUUGUGAUGUUUCGUGGUAGAUGAUCUUGUCUUGCUUUAUAGUGGGAAAUCUUCUCUUUGUUUGUUUUAAAUGCCAAAAUCCUUUCUUGUGAUCUAGCUUUAACCGAACAUUGUUGUCGCUGCCUAGUGCCUGUGGAGAAUCUCAACAAAAACUACUAUAUUUGCAUUGAUCAAAUUGGCGCCGUUGCCGGGGACUAGCAGCGAGCGAUUGUGUUAGGUUAUAGACUAGGUGUUUUUCCCCUUGUUUAGUAACCCCUAUUCUAGGUGUUUCUCUGUUUUCUAUUUGUUUCUUGUCAUAUUUAACAGGUUAUAUUAUCAUCUUGGUCAUGUCAUACUAUUCAGAUUAUUAUGGAUAUGCGAGCAGUAGCGGCAACAACAUAACAAGUCUUCAAGAUAAGAUAAAUGAGUUGUCUGGUCAGAAGCAAAUGUUAUCAAGUAAAAUAGAACAACACAAUUUGCAGCAAGGAAAUGGUCUUCAGGGAGGCCCUGCUAUUUUGAUCCUUAUUCUGUAGGCCAUCCCCAUACUUAUGUUGCUCCUGAAUGUCAUAUUUGUGGAUAUCAAGGUCAUAUUCCCGUCGAGUGUCAGCUGGGUAAAUCUUUCACCCCAAAUUGUUAUGAUAUGGGUUUUACUCCACAGCAUGAUCUGUACCACAACAAUUACCCCCUAGUGGGCUUGAUAACCCAAAUAUUACAUUUAGGAACAGCAGCCCUGAGGACUCAUCUUUUUCUUCUAGCUAUCCUAUGCAGGGAUUUAGGAAUGAAGAGGCGAAGUCACAAGCUCAGUUAAAUUUUGAAGCAGAACAACAAGCUUGGUUUGAAGAUUUUAUGAAGACGCAGCAAGAGAAGAUGGUUCAUCCACAAUCAGCUAUACUUUCAGAUGUAGAUCAAGAACAUGUGAUUUCAGAAAAUGAAGAAAAAGUUGCUCAGAUUUGGGAAGAAGAGAGAUCCGAGAUUAAAGAAGAUGAUGCACUAGAAGACAAGACACACAAUGAGCAAGAGCUGGACUAUGGAAGUAGCAAAGAUAUAGUGGCUGCCAAUCUUGAAGAUAUUGAAGAUAAAGAGGCUAAUGGAGUGGAAAAUGAAGAUAAUGAGGAGAUUCAAGUCGACAUGUCAAUUAUCAUUCAGGAGUGUGAUGAAACAGGUUUAUCAAACCCAAUUAAUGACAUUCUUCCUUAUGAAUUCCCUGCUACUACCUUGCAUUGCUUGAUACCAUCACUUAAGGUAGAACUGAAUUGUGACUUUCUUAAAUUUGAUGAUGCAUACUUUGUUAGUGACAAUACUGAAAUUCAUGAUGAUGACUCAUGUUAAUCACAUGCUAAAAUUCUGCUUAUGGAUGCAUGCUCUAAGAUUACUCGCGUCUCACAUGUGAAUAUUUAUCAUUCUCACCUUGUGCUUUAUUGCUACGCUUACAUCAUUGGUUUUUCAAUUGAUGACUUAGAGGGUGUUGGUCCUUUGACCUCUCCUAGGUGCUAUUCAUAUGAUAUAACUGAGUUUAAUGUGAUAUAUCAUCAUCGCCAUGUUUUUUAUCGAUAUGUGUAUACCAUUGGAUACUCCAUUGAUAAUUUGGAGGGGGUUGACCCUGUCUCUUUUAGUUCUUGUUGUGAGUGUAUUUCAGGCAUAUCAUAGGUGCUUUGUCAGCUUGGAAAAGUCCAGAUUCGAGUUGACAUUCCUUGGGACCCUGGUGGAUAUGAGGUUUUGAGAUGGUGUAGCAAAGAGAGUUGUAUCACACUUGAAAUAAAAUGCUGAAGCAGAUGGGAUCGAGGGAAUCAAGAAGAGUUGUCGAAUUCAGAAGAUGAGUGGCUUGGUCUGAAGGGAAGGUGUAGUCUGAUAAAAAUAUAGUUCAAAUCAUCUAAAACACCAGGUGACUUGUUUCCAGUAUAUGAGAUCAUGUUUCUUCCAUUGCCUGCAACUUUUCUCAAACUGAUCACUGCUAUUCGUUAUUGGUCACAUCAUUGCUUUCUUGUUGAAGCUGUUCUUCUUUGAGAAUCACAUAACAUUGCUUUAACUUGUUGUUUUCUUACCGAAAAAAAAAGCUGCAUUAAUUUUUUUUGUGAUUGCUAUACUCCAGGAUCUUCAUAAUGAAAAGAUACAUCAACUUUCAGUUUAAACACAACAGCUAUUGGUGCAUGUUCUUAUUGCAGUAAUCUAAAGUAUACUUCAGAUUUGUUUUAUUUUCUGCUCUCAUUCCUAAUAAAUUAAGAUUCUGACAAAUCUGAAUGUCUCCUUAUGCUAGUUAGUCCUGUAUCGACUCAAUUGAUUAGUUGCUAAGUAGUAGCUAUGAUCCCGGGAUCUGUAGCUUGUGAAAACAGUGCUAUUGAUCAUAGGUUUCUUUACAAAAUCUUUUAUCCUGUUGCAAUUUGAGCUUUCAAUAAGUGGCUUGUCCACAAGUCUUUAAAUCUCUGAAUAAGUGGCUCAGCCACAGUGUUAUCCUUGCAAAUAAGUGACUAUGUCACAAUUUGUUUCAAUAAGUGGCAGUCCACAUUGCCUUGCUCUGUUUGAAUAAGUGACUCUGUCACAUCUUUAGUUUGGAAUAAGUGGUGCAAGCACCACAAUUUAUUGCAUUUCUUGUUUCGUUUUUAUUUUUGAAAAACCAUGAACCGUGACUCGUUACUGGACUGCUGUCAUAGUUUGAAUUCAGUUUGCAAAAUCUUCUUUAUUAGUUAGGGGAGCCUAAAAUAGUUUAAAUCUUCAGUAUACUUUGAGUACAAUAAUCAGAACAUACAGCUUUACCUGUUAAGUUUAAACUGAAGUUUCUUGGGUCCUUUUUAUUGUGACGGAAAUCCUAGUUGGAGUGAUUACAUACCUCGUUUCAUGCUGUUGUCUCAUUUGCGAUCUGUUUCCUCAUUUGCAUAUCUCUUUGCUUGAGGACAAGCAAAAGUUUAAGUGUGGGGGUGUGAUAAGCAUCAUAUUUGCACUAUUUUCUGGCCAUAAUUAUAUCUGAAAUCUUGUGUUUUGAACUCUGAAUUAUUCUAAAAUGCCAAGAAUUUAUACAAAUACUUGUAAUAUGUGGCAAAAAUUACAUUGUAGCUUUUCUUUUGCAGUUAAGUGCGAAAAGGCACAUACUCUUCUCAUUUUGGACGAGCUGCUGAUGCACCUAUACACCGAAGGACUUGAGCAUAAGGAAAGAGGAAAGAAAGGGCUGAAGUGAAGAAAAAAAAGACCAACUUGCAAAAGAAGAAGAAAGGAGAAGGGCCUGGAUGUAAAAAUGUCAAAGGGAUUAAACCCUAACUCCUGCUCUCGAUCCCCUUGAGCCUGGCACUUCCCCUUUCCCCUAUCUCCUGCUGCACCACCGGCCGCCGCCGCAGCCAGGCUAGCGUGGCGGUGCACCACCGAGCUAGCUGCAGCCCCUUCCCGAUAUCCACUACUGCUCAUCCUCCAUACCGCCUCUGCCAACAGCGGGCUGCACGAAUCCUCUCCAUCAACACCUGUUGCUCCCCACUCACCGAAGAAAUCAACAGCCAAGGAACGCGAGCACGACGACCACCUGCAACAUCCUCCCCUUCUCCAAGUGCUGCUGCCCUCUCCUUUGGUUAAAUCCCCACCGAACUCUCUCUCUCUCUCUCUCUCUCUCCUACUUGUUGCUUGCUGUUUGUGUGUAUAAGAACUAAGAAAAAACAUGCUGUUGAUCUUUGGAAAGUUAGUUGAGCCUUGCAUUGUGUUAAACUCUCUCUUUAGCUUCUGGCCGAUGUGUGCACUUAAUUAUUGUUCUAUGUUAUAAGACUCGUAACCUGUUUGUUCAUAUGUCAGGGAAGAUCUUUGAGUUGUUCUACUCUAAUAUUUGUGAAUGUGGCUGUGUGUAUACUUGUUGAUGUGUUUCGUGCAAUUUUCUAUCCCUAUCUAAAAACUUGCUUCUUCCCAGUCUUAUAUGUUUGCUAGUGAAAUUACUUUCUGUCAAUAUUGUUCUUUGUCUUUGCUUCUGCCCCUGUCUUUGAUGUAUGCUUGUCUUAGUGUUUUAGAUUCUAAAGUAAAUUGAAAAUACCAAAAAAAAAUAUUGGUGUCAUUCUGUACCUUGAAUCCCAUAAUUGUUUCUAUCCCUAUCUUGGAUCAUUGCUUGUGAUGUUUCGUGGUAGAUGAUCUUGUCUUGCUUUUGAGUGGGAAACCUUCUCUUUGUUUGUUUUAAAUUUCAAAAUCCUUUCUUGUGAUCUAGCUUUAACCGAACAUUGUUGUCGCUGCCUAGUCCCUGUGGAGAACAUCGACAAAAACUACUAUAUUUGCAUUGAUCAAUAUUGUUCCUCAAUCUCAUACUUUUUGUUGAAGCAUAAUGGUUCUUACUGUUUUUGUCUUCACUGCUACUGCUUUACUUGGUCAUCUUUCUUCUUUCCAUUGCAACUCUAAAAUUGCUAAGUAAUAUCUCUGUUGUUAAAGCACUGUGACUGUCUUCACUCUUCAUUCUUCAUUUUUGAUGAAAACUUAAAACUGGUCACAUUCCCCCCCCCCCCUCCUCUGUGACGUACUCGAUCUUUCACUUGGUUUCAGAGCAAGGUCUCCUUGUUUUGGUUUUACCACCUGAGGAAGAAGUAUGUCUAAGAAAGUGAAGUUACCUGUUCUUAGCAGUACAAAUUAUGCUUUUGGAAAAAUCGAAUUAAGACACACAUCAUAUCUACUGACCCUUGUGCUUGGGAAGCAGUCACAAACGGUUUUGUUGUUCCUCAGGGCCCCGUCUCUAGAUAUGACGCUAUUUCUCUGAAGAUCAGUAACCUUAUUGGUGCCAAGAAGAUUUGGGAUCUUCUCGCUGAAGUCCAUGAAGGGACAACCGUCAAAGAUUCUAGAGUUACUCGCCUCAUCAGUCAGUUUGACAGACUUGUGCUUGAGCCCAAUGAGACUGUUUGCUCACUCUAUGAUCGUAUGAGCACCAUUGUGAAUGAUCUGAAUACUCUUGAUGAUUACAAUAUCACUGACUUGAUGCAAAACAGAAGAUUUCUUCGAGCUCUUCCCAUGGAGUACACCAUUGUCUGUGAAUUGAUCAAGCAUCGGCCAGACUUCAAGGAGUUAACCCGUACCUGGGUGCUUGGAUGAAUUGUGUCCUAUGAGCUUGAUCAGGAAGAAAAGAAGAUGAUCCAUGGUCCUGGAUCCAGUUCGAAGAAGAACAUUGCUCUCAAGGCCAAGAAAUCAUCCAAGAAGAUCGUCGGCUCCAGUGCAGAAUCUGAAUACUCAUCUUCGUCUGAUGAAGAAUCCAACUCUAGUGAUGAGCUUGCUCUGUUUGUGAAGAGGUUCAAUAAGAAGUUUGGAAAAAAGUUUGGAAAUAAACUGAAGCAUCAAGGUGAAUCCAGCUCAUCCAAGUAUCGGAAAUCUGCUCAUCGGAAGAAAUCUAAUAUGGCCAAAAGAGCUUACUUCAACUGUGGCAAGAAAGGGCACUUCAUCACUGAAUGUCCUGAGAAAGCUGAUGAAGACAAGGAAAAGAAGGGAUUUAAGAAACAUCCUCACAAAAAGAGCCAUGACCGUCACAAGAAGAAGGAUUGGAAUAACGACUCUACUCACAAGAAGAAGGGGAACUAUUACUCUAGAGCACAUGUUGGUGAAUGGAACUCAGAUUCUUCAUCGUCUGAAUAAUCAUCUGAUUCUGAGUCUGAAGACGGCAUCGUCAGAUUGGUCAUAGCUAUUUCAUCUGCCAGAGAGAAGACUCCAUUGUUUGACUCUGCAGAUUCAUCAUCUGAAGAUGCCUCCGGAGACGAUCGCAACUCACCAUCAUGCUUCAUGGCAAAAUCCUCUAAGGUAUCAUCUCAUAGUGAAGUUGAAAUGAAUUCUAGUGAUAAUGAUGAAAUUGAUAAUGAAGAAUCUGAACCCAUGACAUAUGAAAGACUUCAGUUCAUUGUUGAGAAGCAAGAAUACUUGCUUAUCACUAAGAUCAAGAAGAACACUAACAUGGAUCAUGUCGCACCAGUGGCACCCGGGGUACCACCGCUGCAUGACGCGUGGGCCACCUCGCUUGCUCCUCGGAAGGACCGCACCCCGGGCAGCUCCGCGCAAGCUGCCCCGCAAGUCACCAGCCCGGCAGAGCUAGCCAGGCUGCGGGGGUUGCCUUGGAGGGCAGCAAGAGAAAUCCCGCCUGGGCGCUUCCUGAGAAGGUUACUUGCCGAGAAGGGUGUUCCCGGGCGCACGCGUCCUUUACAGGAGCGGGACCGAGCAAGCAGGACAGCGGCGCCACGGGGCUGCUCGGCGGACUCCCUGUGCGCAGGGUUCGUCAGGACGAAGAGUGUAGCACACGCGAGCAUUUAAUGCACCGACAAAAAGGGGAUUCCCCGUCCAGUCAGCCUACAGUGACUCGCCGUGGUGUAAUUUUUAGGCGCUUAGGCCCCUAGUUGCAGGGCUACUCUUUGUGCAGUUAAGCCAGCACACCGAGGGGGAGCUGGGCUAGCUCCCUGCUCGCCAUUUGUCACCCUUGCACCAUGGCACCUGUGGUAUCCCCUUCGGUAUAAAAGGAGGAUCCCCGCCAACGGUCAAAGGGUUUGGUUCAUUCGGAUCCACACUAGCUCCAGCCAGGAAAAGCAAAUAACACUUAGCUGAAAAGAGAGAGCACCCGGGGACUCCCCUCGGCAACCUGUAAACCCUUGUUCAUUGGUUAAUAGCAAAACACAGAAGCAGGACGUAGGGUCUUACGCCUCAGGGUGGCCCGAACCUGGGUAAACGAUCUCGUGUCUAUUGUGCUCCAACCCUUGGCAUUGGCCUCGCCAGCGAUCACCGGAGCGACCCCCGCCACCCACUGCCGAACCUAAAAGGGGGUGCCCCGCAUCCCCGGUGUCAAAGCACCGUGCUACGACAUCUUGCGCGCCAGGUAGGGGCCACGCAAGGAGAGCUCGCUGGUGACCGCCGGCGCCGUCGUCUACGGCAGCACCGGCCUCGUCUACUCCAACAACAGAGCCAGUCGCUAUGCCACCCAAGCGGGCUGGUGACUCUCGGAUCGACCCGCGUGAAGCCCCAGCGGCACACACGCGAUCGCACGACGCGCAACCCGCGUCGCGGGCUCAGGAGAACCCUGAGCCCUCUCAGGCGCAGCAGUCGCAGCUACCACCCCCGCCUCCUCGGCCGUCGGCGGACAACCGGCUGAGGGGGCCAGCGGCUCCCAGCGCCGAAGCCAAUCGCGCGAGCGGCCAUGAUGCCGCCCGCGCCAGCCGGCGAGUUGAAUCGCGGGCCGGAGACGCGCAGCGGCAGCUGUACCAAGAGCACCCUGCGUCACGAGCGACGCCGACGCGAUCGCACCCUACUCACCCGGGUGCGCCGGGGGAUAGGGCGGAUGGUAGCCGGUCGGAGAAUCGACUGCCCCCAGCCCAAACCCUGACAGAAGCCAUCAUUGUGCGGUAUGAGUCAUGGUGCGGUACGAGCCGCAGCAGGGCACGCCGGCACACCAGGCAUCGAGGGCGGAGUUGGACGCGCUCCUCGCACUCGCCGCCACGUAGCCGCAGGGCGGGGGCGCCCCGGCUGGCUCAGGCCGCGGGCAAAACCCGGGGUGCGAAGACAUACCCCGCGUCUUGGGGCAGGGGGAAAACCCUCCCCUGCAGGGAGGGCAAGGAGGCGGGGAUCCUGAGGGGUCCUCGGAUUCGUCACCAACCGUCACACGGGGUAACUCGCGGGGCGUCUUGAACGCCCGCCAACAGGAGGACCUCCGCCGGUGCCUGGAGCGCCCGCGCCCGGAGAAGCAGGAGGAUGCUCCCAUGGGCGCCGAGGACGGCUGCACCGCAUUCACCCGCGAGCUGCGCCGGGUGACAUGGCCCUGCAAGCGCCGAGCGCCGGCGCUUGGGACGUACGACGGGACCGUGAACCCGAAGGAUUUCCUCCUGACCUACACGUUGGGGAUGCACGCCAUCCGUGCCGACGACAAGGUCAAGGCUAACUGGUUCCCAAUGGUCCUCAAGGGAUCAGCGAGAACGUGGCUGCUCAACCUGCCUGCCGAGUCCAUAGCCACUUGGCCGGACCUGCGCGAGCAGUUCGUGAGCGCGUUCAGGGCGGCUACAAGCGCUCAGGAACCAUGGCGGAGCUGCACACCGUGGUGCAGAAGCCGGGAGAGACGCUGCGGAGCUUCGUCAACCGCUUCUCCAGCCUCUCCUACUCCAUCCUGGAGGCGGAGGCUGCCGCCAUCGUCAACACCUGCGCCAACAACGUCCGCGACCUCAAGAUGCAGGAGAAGCUGAGCAUGCAUCGGAUCCGGACGACGCAGGAUCCCUAUGCCCUGGCGCACAAGUGUGCCAUGGUCGAGGAAGGGCGCUUGGUGCCUGAGCUUGCAGCUAAGGCUGCCGCGUGCCCAGCUGUAGGCUCGCAGAAGAAGGGCUCCCGCAAGCGCAACGGGAAGCAAGUCCUCGCCGCGGAGUCGGGGGCUACCGCGAGGCCUGCGAAAAAGGCCUCGCCCGGUGGAGGGUCUGGCGGCAAGCUGGGUGACGCGGUGCGAGAAGCGCCACGAGGAGCGCCAAGCGGCCGGCGCCUGCUUCAACUGCGGUGACAUCGGGCACCUCUCCCGGGAUUGCCCAAAUGAACCCAGAGCGGGGCCGAAGCCUGCUGGUGGGGGCGCCGGCAGGGAGGAAGCCCAGGGAGGACGCGGCCAGGCCCAUGCAGGCAGGGAGCGCCCUCCCCAGGGAUGAGACAAGGCUUGCGCUGAGGAGCAGCGUGAGUCCGAUUGCAGCGCGGGCAACGAGCCCGGCUUUCGGGAGCCCCGCGGCAUCUCCUGCAUCCAUGGGGGAGCUUACGCUCUCUCAUCCCACGCCGCGGUGAAGCACCUCACCCGGGAGGUGUGUGCGUUGUUGCCGGACACGGAGGCGCAGCAGCCGCUUAAGUGGUCGCACGUGCCUAUAACCUUCAGCGCUGAUGAUCACCCAGCCUGACAGCUGGGUUCAGGGGUUCUACCCUUUGUGGUCUCGCCGAUCAUCAACAACGUGACGGUGACCAAGGUGCUGGUGGACAACGGAGCGGGGCUGAACCUCCUGUCCGCCAGGUUAAUGGAAAAACUUCAGCUGCCGCAUCACACUGGGGCACAUCAGUGAACCUCGGGAUCAUGCGCCCCCUUGGGCGCAUCACGCUGCCGGUUACCUUCAGGUUCCGGGAAGCGUUCAGGACCGAGCACCUGGUGUUCGAUGUGGCGCACACCCCGUUGCCAUACAACGGGAUCCUUGGUUGGCCGGCUCUGAUCAAGUUCAUGGCGGCGACUCAUUGGCCUACGGCGUGAUGAAGAUGCCGUCCAUGUAUGGCGUCCUCUCCGUCAGGUGCGACCUCAAGGACGCAGCCUGGUGCGUCGGCGAGGUCGUCAAGGCCGCCGCCGCAGCCGACUCCGGUGCCGAGGAAGUUGCCGGGAGUGAAGGCUCGCUGCCGGGUGACGGCCCCGUGGUGAAGAAGGCCUGUGCUACCCCGCAAGAGCUUGCCGGGGGAGGCGCAGGCUCGAGCUCGCGCCCCGGCAAGGGCUAGAAGCUCCAGGAGGAGGCCGCCAAGGUGAGGAAGCUGCCCCUCCAAGCCGGCAAUGAGGAGCGCACCGUCACCGUUAGUGCAAACCUCACUACCGAAUAGGAAACCGCCCUCAUCACUUUCCUUCGGGAGAACGCCGAUGUGUUCUCUUGGGAACCGCCGGACCUUCCUAGAGUCCCUAGGGAGGUGAUUGAGCAUCGACUCACGGUGCGUUCGGACGCCCGCCCCGUCAAGCAGAAGAUCCGCCGGCAAGCACAGGAGCGCAAAGAUUUCAUCAAGCAAGAAGUGGACAAGUUUAAAACUGCGGGAGCCAUCAGGGAAGUACUGUACCCUUCUUGGUUAGCUAAUCCUGUGGUAGUACCCAAGGGGGAGAAUAACUUCGCAUGUGUGUGGAUUUUACUGAUCUAAACCGUGCCUGCCCGAAAGAUCCAUUCCCUGUACCACGCAUUAAUCAAAUAGUAGAUUCCACUGCCGGUUGCAAUUUGCUGUGUUUUUGGAUGCAUUUUCCGGCUACCAUCAAAUUAAGAUGGCAGUCGAAGACGAGGAGAAAACAGCGUUCAUCACCCCGGUUGGCUGCUACUGUUACACGUGCAUGCCGUUCGGGUUGAAGAACGCGGGCUCAACAUUCCAGCGUGCGUUGCGCGAGUGUUUGGGACCCUAGCUAGGCCGAAACGUAUAGGCCUAUAUGGACGAUAUCGUCAUCAAAUCAAAGCGCGGGGACUCGCUGAUUGAAGACCUGCGGGAGACGUUUGAUAACCUCCGUAGGAUCAAGCUCAAGUUGAACCCUGAGAAAUGCAUCUUUGGUCUGGACUCGGGUCAGCUUCCGGGUUUCUUUGUUUCGCAUAGGGGGAUUCAAGCCAAUCCAAAGAAGAUAGAGGCUAUCGAGAAAAUGGAGGCUCCCCGCAAGGUGAAGGACGUUCAGCGCCUCAACGGCUGCGUUGCCGCGUUGGGGCGCUUCAUCUCGAGGCGGGGCGUGCGCGCCCUACCCUUCUUCAAGGUGAUGAAGAAGAAGGGACCGAUCGAUUGAACCCCCGAGGCUAAGGUGGCGUUCCAGGAUCUCAAGCAGUACCUGAAGUCGCCGCACAUCCUCAUCUCCCCCAAGCCGGGCGAGCCGCUGCUACUCUACCUAGCGGCGACUGACCAAGUGGUAAGCUCGGUGCUGGUUGCUGAGAGGGAAGAAGACCACCCGGGGAUGAGGUUGCGGGGCAGGGGGCUGAGCGGCCCCCGGCAACCGCCUCGGACCCGGGGAUCGCCAUCGAGCCCGCGGCGUCAGCACCACGCAAGCAGCUCGGGCAGCACCCUGUGUACUUCGUCAGCACGGUGCUGUGUGACGCCCGCACGCGGUACCCGCAAGUGCGGAAGCUAUUGCUGGGGAUUCUGCUUGCAUCACGCAAGCUGCGCCAUUACUUCCAGGCUGUCGGGGUUCUGCCUCGAGCGGGCCCUCACCAACCGUGACGCCACUAGGAGUGUGGCCGAGUGGAGGAUGGAGUUGUCGGAGUUUGAUCUGCACUUCACCAACACCAAAAUCAUCAAGACCGCCGCUCUAGCGGAUUUCGUUGCAGAGUGGACUUCGACGGGCAUAGAAGAAGAGGAGCCGGAGACCAGCCUGCCCGGCAAGCUGGACGAAGGCCACUGGGUCCUGUACUUCGACGGUGCGUUCAGCCUGCAGGGGGCUGGCGCCGGGGUCGUCAUCGAGUCGCCCACGGGUGAUCAGCUGAAGUUCACCAUCCAGCUCAACUUCCCCAACACCACCAACAACACGCUCGAGUAUGAAGAGUUGCUCGCCGGGUUGCGGGCGGCGGUCGCCCUGGAUAUCAAGCGCCCGGUUGUUCGCGGGGACUCCCAACUCAUGAUCAACCAGGUUAACAAGGACAAUGACUGCCCAAAGAUGGCGGCGUACGUGGAUGAGGUCCGCAAGCUGGAACGCAAGAGGUUCGGGCCACCCGGAGGUGUAAAACCCUACGUCCUACUUGUCUGGGCUGAUAUUGAUUGUGGAUCAAGCGUUUACAAGUUGCCGGGCAAGUUCCCGGGCUUUCUCUACUAUUCUUUGCUAGUGCUCCAAGCUAACUCAACUCGCGCGGAACCUAGACUCUAACCCUUCUGAACCUCCCAACUCAACUCACGCAGAACCCAACCCCCCAACCGCUGGCAUGGGUCCUCCUUUUAUACUCAAGGAGAUGCCACAGGUGCCAUGGUGCAUGAGCUACAAGUGUCCAGCGGGGGGCACACAACUCCCCCCGGUGAGCUGGUGGCGUGCAUCGAUGCCACCUCCGCUGCUAGGGGUCUAAAACCCUAGGGUAGGAUUGGACAGCCAUUGUUCCUUCGAUCGGAUGGGUAACGACCCGUCGGUCGGCUUGUUUACUGAGCCGUGCGCCUUACUCCUUGCUCUGGUGGGACCGCGCAUCCCACGCCCGCCACGCGGCUCGCGUGGCGCUGUUGAUCUGGCCACUGGGCCCCGCGCCUGGGGCGGGGGCAGGUGCCCGGGAACCCCCUGUCUCGGCAAAUCGACCUCGGGAAGCACCUGGACCCAACGCACCCGGGAAGCCGCUUCCCGGGAGGUGCCCAAGCGAGAAUGUUCCCCGAAGCCCCGAUAGCCCCUUCUGGGCGGGUGCCACUAGUGCGACAGUAGCCCCCAGGCAUCGGCCGACAUCACCUGUUCUCGGAAGGCUCUCCCCCUGGUCGGUUGCCGGGCUACGCCCUUAACCGACGCGUGGGCCCCGAUCAGUCGCGGGCUCGCAUCCCUUCGCUGCCCCGUGUACGGCGCCGUUACAAGCGGAGCAGUGGACCUGUGAUUUCCGCCCUAACUCCCCCCUUAAAUAGGGAAGUUAAGGCCACUCCGCGCAUUACUCCCAGUGAUUAGGAGUUAUCCCCGCACACCCGUAGGGUACGGAACCGGCCGUUACCAAACGGCCGGGUGUCAAAAAGCCACCACUGUUGCCAAAAGGGGAACAAUACUCUGCCCCCAUCGCCUUCGCCUCCAUCCCCUUCCGCAUCUCGCAUCCCUGCGCUCCUGUUAGCUUCCGCCCUCGCUUUCCAUGGCGCCCCCCACCACCAGAAAAGGGAAGGACGUCCAGGUCUCGAAGAGGGCUGCGACGAGCACGGGGAGACGCGGAUCUUCCCGUCAGGUGCUGAACACUAGGACAACGACUUCCGGGUGUUUGCGCGCUUCCUCCUCUGCGGCAUGGUGCCGCCCUUCUCCCUAUUCCUCCACGCACUGAUGGAGUCCUACCAGCUGCGGGUGGUGCAACUCCACCCCACCUCCUUGUUCCUCCUCGCCACCUUCCAAUUCCUUUGUGAGGCGUUCGUGGGGGUGAUGCCGUUGGUGGGGCUCUUCCGCCACUACUUCUACCCGCGUAUCGACAAUGCGAAGGCGAUGUCGUCGGGGGCGGUCUUCCGCACCCGCGACCAGAUGAGGUCCGAGUUCAUCGUCCGGUCAUGGAAGAAGAUUGAAAAAGAGUGGCGGAGCGACUGGUGCUGGGUCCGAGUGGAGGACCCCAGGAGUUCAUCCAACCGCCGAUGGAGCUGCCGCAACCCCAGAACGGCUGGCAGGAUAGGUACCACCGCGACGCCGGCAUCCUCCCCAUCAUGGAGAAGAUCAAGGCGCUGCGGCUAGCGGGGCUCACCGAUGUGGACGUGGCACGCCCCUUCGUCCGUCGGCGCAUAGCCCCGCUGCACUACGCUCCCGGCCCGCGUGGAUGUACACAGGCCCCGGGGACAGGACAUGCCUCCAGGAGGACGGCGUGGACUUGGAGACCCUCAGGACAUGGGUGAGGGGGAUCUCCGGCGAGAUCUUCCAAUCAACGAAGUUCCCGCCGGGGGUUUCCUCUCUUCACGCCGGCGUCAAGGCGCUCAGCGACAUCGUCGGCGCCUUCCCGCCCUACAAGUGGGGGUUGAUGGACGACACCCCCACACGGGUCCCGCACGCUCCCCCACAAGCACCCCGCGAGAAGCAGGUGGUCGAGGAGAGCGGGGGCGGAUCCGAGCCCAGCUGGCUCUCCCUCCAGUCGCUGGACGACGAGGCGGGCCGGGGGCUGCGUCCCCGGAGGGGGUUGCCGUGGACGACGACGACGAAAGCAGCGACAGCGCGCCCCUGAUCGUGAGGAGAUCGAGGGCGCUUGCAGCGGCCGCACCCUCUCCUCGACGGCAACGUCCGCCCCGGCAGUGGCCCCCACCCUUGCGGCGGCCGCCGCUUCAGGGACGCCCGUUGACACCUCGACAGCAUCUGCGGCAACAAGGGCCGCAGGGGUCUCGGCGGCGGCCUCCGCCUCAGCGACAGCCGCGAGUGUUGCGGUGGCAACCAGUCUCGGGGUGCCCGCCGGGACUCCGGCAGCGCCAGCGCCUGCAGGGGUCGCCGGUGCCUCGGCAACGGCCUUCGCCCCAGUAGCGGGGGCCUUCACGAGUUCUGCAUCUGGCGUCGUCGCGGCCUCGCCGUCGACACCCGGAGCUCUCCGGGUCACCACGACUCCGCGGGCGCCCACGGCGCCACCUGCUCAGGGGGUCUUCCGGGGCUUCGCGCUCCAGCGUAACCCAAGAAAUCCUCCUCGCCGGCGGGUGCCAGCAAGAGGGCGAGGAGCGAUUCCCCGCCCUGUACGCCCAGCAAGAGGACGUGCGCCGGUGCCCGCGGCGCCGCCGACCCCACCGCCGCAGGAGUCGGCCGCGACACGAGCAUGCCCCUUGGCGACCCAGCCCUCACGGAGGCAGGGCCGGCAGCCGGUAUGUCUUCGUCACUCUUCUGCAAUUGCAAUUUUUGUUAGCCAAACUCAUGAACAUACCCCCCUUUUUUUCUGCAGUGAGCGGCAGCAAGCCUCUUAGACGCUCCCGCCGGCACAAGCGAGGCAGGGGAGGUUUCCACGGCAAGCCCGGCGGCCGCGCAAGGUAACCACCCUGAUUACCCUUGUCCGUCUUUGAAGGCUCCGUUAAUCGCCGAUCCUUAUGCUUCUCAUUGUUGCAGGCACAAGUGCGCCCAUGCCCGGAACGGGCGCAACCGCGGCCGAUCUUGACCCGGUCGUCGAGGCUGUGGGGGUGGAGGUGGAGCCGGAACUGGCUCUUACGUCCAGUCCCGCUGCGGCGGACACAGCGGCAGCGGUGGACAUCGCCGCCGCCGUGACUGCGUCCGGCGACGCGCCCGUAGCUGCGGGCGCGACCGACGCAGGCUCUCCCGUCGCCCAGCAGGGGACGGCCCCCGCCGGGAGCAGGGAAGCUUCUCCAACCCCGGGGUCCCUGGGCGCAGGCGCAAGGGAAGUUGCUGGGGAAGGACAGCAAGACCCCCGGGAGCAGGCUGGCGACCCUGAGCACAGCCCCGCAUCAGCAGCAGGGGCUUCACCGUCCUCGGUAGCUCUCCCCGGUACUGACCUCGGCACCCUCGCCGGGGUCGCUUGGAACCCCCUUACAUGGGAUCCGAGCAUCUUCGAGCGGGGGCACGGGUUCCUGGACGCCGUCAGGGACCAGCAACUGGCCUUCGUCACCUCCUUCAACGAGGUGAGGGAGCACCACACCGCUGCCAAAAAUCAGCUCGGCAAGGUGCGGGAGGCCGUGGAGAGAGAACGGCGUGAACUGUCCCGGCUACGCGAGGAGAUGCGCCUCGCGGAAGAGGAGGCGCGACUGGCCCGGCAAGCCCUGGAGGACGCCCGGGAGCCGGUGGUCCCGGAGACCGAACUCCAUCGACAACUGGAGGCCCAGCGCGUGGAGCUUCAAGGGAAGCUCGACUCGAUGGCGGUCACCCUUGAGGCAACCAGGAAGGAACACGCCGAGGUGGUCGCGGCGGCCCAGGCCUAGCUGGACGAGAAGAGCGUCCUGAUCGCCAACUACCGCGGCGAAAUCCAAGGCCUCCGCGUCAUGCGGGAGGUGCAGGUCAAGGCCACCGAGGACGUGGCAAGAGCGGCGGCUCGGCACGAGGCCGAACUCACCUCUGCCAAGGACAGAGCUGCCAGGCUUGAGACCGAGCUAGCCGCCGUCCGGGAGGAGCUCGUCAAGGCAGGCGAGGACAAUGUGGCCAAGGCCGCAGAGCUCGAGAAGCUGGCGGGCCGCCUCAGCAAGGCUAAGAAGGCUGCGCACGACGCUUGACUCCAUCACGGCACGCUGAUCGGGCAGCGGCAGAUCGAGACGGAGAAGCUGAUGAAGAUCGCCCUGUCGCUGCGCGACCUGCUGCCCAAGUUCGAGCUGCAGGCGGCGGAGGUGGACGGGACAGACGUCACGACGCUGAUCCCCUUCUUCUCCGUCCUGGUGGGGAAGCUUGGGGCGCUUGACGUCUGGAUCGCCCGGUACGGCGCCAACGAAGUCGCCAACUGCGCUCGGGAGGUUGCCGGGACAAUCCUCCCGUGGAUUCAUCCCGGGACCCGGAGUUUCCCUUCGAGUCCCUGCUGGACGCUUGGUCCGACAGCGAGGACGAGCCCACGCCCACCCAAGCAGUGCGUGAGUUCGUCGAUGAGGUCGUCGAGUGGAUGCAGAUGAAGCCGGAGCAUGAUCUCCCCGCCGACCCCCCGGCCGAAGACGGCGACAACUAGUUGCCACAGCCCCCAGUCGAGCUCGUUGCUCCCAAUGUAGCUCCUCUAGUUCUCUUUCCACAAGUAUGGCGCUUAGCGCCGUUUGAACAAUCACCUUUUGAUUAGUCUAUGCAAUCAUUCAGCACUCGGUCAAUCAAGCUUUUUAAUUUGCUCAAUUUUUGUUCCUUGUUUCCGGAGCUGCCUCGCGGGGCAGUUCCCUUAGCCUUUGCGUGUCAUGCCUUGUGUUGCCGGGGACUCGCACGUCCCACCCUUGACCAGACCAGGGACCCGGGACGGACCCGCAGUGCCGACCUGGGGUCAAGCGGUAGUCGGCGAGCCACUCCACUUGCGGGGUAACUACUCCAAGCCAUGCCCUCCCGAGACGGACCCGGAAACCAUACGGGGAGCGCACUCCCCCCACAAGCGUCCUCCUCACACCCCGGCCACACGCGGGUUCCGGGGCCACACUUGGCGAAGCAGCGUCCAAUUCUCAGUCAAUUAAGUUUUUCGACAUGUUCGUUGUUCCUGGUGCUGUCUAGCGGGGUGGCCCUUUUAGCCUUUGCGUAUUUUGCCUUGUGUUGCGGGGGACUCGCGCGCCUCACCCUUGACCAGACCAGGGACCCGGGAUGGACCCGCGGUGCCGACCUGGGGCCAAGCAGGAGCGAGGAGUCACACCACUUGCGGGGUAACUACUCCAAGCCGUGCCCCUCUGGGACGGACCCGCGAGGCCACAUGGGGAGCGCACUCCCCCCGCAAGUGUCCUUUUAACACUCCGGCUACGCACGGGAUCUGGGGCCACACCCAACGGGACAGAGCUCAAUUUCGUUCAGUUCUUAGCGAGUUCAGCGUUCAUGUUCAGACACUUAGCUUUUCCGUUCGGUCCAAUGCCUCGUGACGCUCGGCGGUAAAGUACAGCUGGGGCACUGCGUUGGUAGGACCCCACCUUGGGUACCUGUUCAAGGGAAACGGUUUCUGAGGGGUGCGGCAGGAGCGCAGGGGCAGGACCGCCGCCCGCGGCAACUGCCGACGACGAUGCUACCACCACGCUCACGUGGUAACCCUCGCCUUCAGGGACGAACCCUAGCUUAGGAGGACUCCACCCCGGGAGCAGCCGCAAGACGGCUAUAACGUUCUCGCCACCAGCUGCGCCCCACCACGAACGGCGGGCACGGGUGGCGAGGAAGUUAUAGCCUCCCGGCGACAGCCCCCGCAACCGGGGAGACCUGGUUUUUUCUGGGGAGCUCGUCCCAAUGGAUGUGACAGCCCUUGCUGCCCGGGAGCAAAACUGCUCGAGGGCCGUGGCAGGGACGCGGUGAUGGGCCGGAACGGGCGGCAGGCGCCGGCACCGGCGCCCUCACAGCGUCCUCGCAACGACCCGCGCCCGAAAAAGGCUCUCUCAAGGGGAAUGCGGUUGGGUCUCUAUGAUAAUGCACCCGUCAGCACAAGGCAUGGAUGGCAUGCACUAUCAUAGAGUCUCCGCAGCAGCCCCUGCUCCUUGCGGAGGUGUCUUAUGGAGGGGCGCGGCAGGGGUACUGCAGCAAUGCACCCCGUCAGUGCCGGGCACUGAUGGGAUGCACCACCACAGUGCCUCCGCGGCGACCCUCGCCCAGGAGCCACCCAUUUGAGGGGCGGGCUCGAUGGGGUCAUGCGGCAGGGGCGCGAUGGCAACGCACCCGUCGGCGCUGCACCACCAUCGUGCCUCCAUGGCACCACCCGCCUUAACAGCCCCGGAUCCAGGUUCGCUCUGAGCCGUUCCAUGUUUGAGGCGCGCCUUUUAUAGGCGCGGGAGGGGGGUUUGCCACCGCGCACAACGGGCCCGCGUAGCACCCGUGGCACCCCUUCUUUGAAACGCGGUACAACCUCCGCCGUCGUGCACACUUGGCAACCGUGGCACACGUGGCGGUGCCCUCCCGAGUCAGAAGCCUCGGAGUGCGGUGAGCCUCUUGUGCUGCGGUCAUCCCGCACCACAAGGCACCGGUGGAUGGUGCGACCCAUGGGCAGCCCACGGGCACCACAGUGCAAAAGAUUCCAUCCUUUCCUACAGGUUAGAUUCUUACCAGGCUUGAGGUGCUGCAAAAAUUUUCAAAAUUUACGAAAAUAUACAAAGCAACACAAAGAAAACUCCUCCUGCCUCCCAGCCCCCGGGCACAAAGGGGCCGAUACCAGACUUGGAUGUGAGCAUUUUCUUUCCUAGGCGCAAUGACUGCGCGGUGCACGUUGCGGGGAGCCUGGCAACGGCACAUCCAGUGAUGCGCGUUGCGGGGAGCCCGGCAACCGCAUGUCCAGUGAUGCAUGUUGCGGGAAGCCUGGCAACUACAUGUCCCGUGCCGGAACGAUCCGGCAACGGGUUUAUGUUUUCGAGGCUCCAACAGCCCCCUGCUCACAACCAAGUAUGGAAAGACACCUUUGUGCACUUACAACAGGAGACAGAAGAGGGAGGAACAUGCGAAUAAACAAGGCAAAUUCAAAGCUCAGGGGCGAGACACUUAUCUUUAUUCACAAUAACUAAUGGUUUACACACGGGGGCUGCCUGGCUACACUAGUUCGAGAGGUAUGCACCAGCGGCAUCACCUGAGGGUCGGGCUCCGCCGCUUCACGGGUAGAACUUGCGCAAGUGCUCAAUAUUCCAACUAUUGGGCACCGGCAAGCCGUCUUCGGUUUCCAGGCGGACAGCCCCCGGCCUGGUCACCUGCACAACCCAGAAGGGGCCUUCCCAUUUCGGAGUCAACUUGUUCCCGGCCUUCGUUCCUUGUAUCCGGCACAGGAUAAGGUCUCCGUUCUCGAGCCCCCGGGGACAGACUCGCCUGUCCUGAUAACAAUGGAGUCCCUGCUGGUAGCGCGCGGCUCGCACAGCAGCCCGGCAUCGAAGCUCUUCGAUGAAGUUUAGAUCAUCGACCCUUUGCUCGUGUUGGCUGGUGUCACCGUACGCGUGUACUCGGGGAGAUCCGUGCUUGAGCCCGUUGCCCAACUAGGUGUUUCGCCCGUUGCCCGACUAGGUGUGGUCAGGAUGGACCACAGCACAGGCUGGAGUUCUUCGACCCAGUGUUUUCCGUGCCCUUUGAGCUUGUCAAAGGUUCUCGUCUUGAGCCCCCGCAGCACCUCUACGUUGGCUCGCUCCGCCUGUCCGUUACUCCUCGGGGGAGCAACGGACACGAAGCGCAGCUUAGUGCCCAUGUCCUCGCAAUAGGCUUGAAACGCCGCGCUCGUGAAUUGCGUGCCGUUGUCGGUGAUGAUGCUGUUAGGCACACCAAACCGGCACACAAUGCCUCUGAAGAACUUGAUGGCCGCCUAGGCGGUCACCUUCCGCACUAGUUCCACCUCCACCCACUUGGAGAACUUGUCGAUGACCACGAACAAAUAUUCGUAACCGCCAACCGCCCCUGGUAGCCUGCCGACGAUGCCGAGCCCCCAGACCGCAAACGGCCAUGAGGACGGGAUGACAUGCAGGGCCUGCACCGGUUGGUUGCUCUUCUUUGGGUGGAACUGGCACGCCUCGCACAUCUUCACAAGUCGUUCCGCAUCGGCCAGUAGAAACCGUGCCAGAACGCCUUACCGGCUAGAGCCCGAAAGGCCACAUGGUGUGAACAUGUGCCUCGAUGUAUGUCUUCCAACAGUGCGCACCCCUCUUCCUGUGGCACGCAGGUAAACUUGACACCGUUCGCACGCCUGCGGUAGAGGUUACCAUCUACCACAGUGUACAUCUUGGCUUGCCGCGGUACACGCUCCGCGGCGACGUCAUCUUCCGGGAGAGCCUCCCCUUUCAAGUAGCGAGCGAUUUCUUCCGCCCAGGGGGGAAUCUCCCUGCCAACGCAUGCCGCCAUAUCAGCGACAUGGACCCCCGCUGCUGCAGGGGUUCCCUCAGUUGCCGAAGGGGCACCCCCGGCAGCCGGCUGGGGGGCGACUGAAGGAGCCACUUGCUUCUGACAGAACACCCCCGCCGGAGGCUUCCAGCGCUCUGCUGCCGCCUUGGCCAGCACGUCAGCAGCGAAGUUAUCCUUCCGCUUGACGUGCUUGAAGCGCAAACCUUUGAACUUUCGUUCUAGCUUGCGGACCUCCUCUACGUACGACGCCAUUUGAGGGCAGCCAUAGUCCUUGUUCACCUGGUCGAUCACGAGCUGGGAAUCGCCGCGAACAACCAGGCGCUUAAUGUCGAGGGCGACCGCUGCCCGCAACCUGGCAAGCAGGCCCUCGUACUCCACCGUGUUGUUGGUGUAGUUAGCGAAGUCGAGUUGAACAGCAAACCUCAACUGGUCCCCUGUUGGUGACUCGAUGACGACCCCAACGCCUACUCGCUGAAGACUGAACGCACCGUCGAAGUAAAGGACCCAGUGGUCCUCGUCCAGCUUGCCGGGCAGGCUGAUCUCCGGCUCACUUUCUUCUACGCCCGUGGACGUCCAUUCCGCGACGAAGUCCGCCAGGGCCGUGCUCUUAAUGCUUUUGGAGUUGGUGAAGUGGAGGUCGAACUCCGACAACUCCAUCCUCCAUUCGGCCACCCUCCUGGUGGCUUCACGGUUGGUGAGGGCUCGCUCGAGGCAGAACCCAGACACCACCGUGACGCGGUGCGCCUGGAAGUAGUGGCGCAGCUUGCGGGACGCAAGGAGAAUCCCUAGAAGGAGCUUCUGUAUUUGCGGGUACCUUGUCCGCGCGUCGCGAAGCACCGUACUAAUGAAGUACACCGGGUGCUGCAUCAACCGCUUCCGCGGUGCCGAGGUUGCCGACUCGGGGGCGGUCUCCGGGUCUGAGGCGGUUGCCGGGGGCCGCUCAGCCCCCUGCCUCGCGGCCCCAGUCCCUGGGACGUCUUCCUCUCUCUCGGCAACUAGCACCGAGCUGACCACCUAGUCAGUCGCCGCUAGGUAGAGUAGCCGCGGCUCGCCCAGCUUGGGGGCGACGAGGAUGGGCGGCGACCUCAGGUACUGCUUGAGUUCCUAGAACGCCGCCUCGGCCUCGGGAGUCCAGUCGACUGGACCCUUCUUCUUCAUUACUCUGAAGAAAGGCAGGGCACGCUCGCCCAGCCUAGAGAUGAAACGCCCCAGCGCGGCAACACAGCCGUUGAGGCGCUGGACAUCUUUCACCUUGCGGGGGGCCUCCAUCUUCUCGAUGGCUUCUAUCUUGGUCGGGUUGGCCUGUAUCCCUCUGUGUGAAACCAAGAAACCCAGAAGCUGCCUGGAAUUGACACCGAAGGUGCACCUAUCGAGGUUCAGCUUGAGCUUGAUCCUGCGGAGGUUGUCGAACGUCUCCCGCAGGUCAUCAAUUAGCGAGUCCCCACGCUUCGAUUUGAUGACGAUGUCGUCCAUGUAGGCCUCCACGUUGCAGCCUAGCUGGGGCCCCAAACAUUCGCGCAGGGUGCGCUAGAAUGUGGAGCCCGCGUUCUUCAACCUGAAAGGCAUGCAUGUAUAACAAUAACAGCCAACCUGGGUGAUAAACGUUGUCUUUUCCUCAUCCUCGACCGCCAUCUUGGUUUGAUGGUAGCCGGAGAAAGCAUCCAGAAAGCUCAGCAAGUCACAACCAGCGGUAGAAUAAAUUAUCUGAUCGAUACGGGGUACAGGGAAGGGAUCCUUGGGGCAUGUGCGAUUAAGAUCGGUAAAAUCUACACACAUCCGAAGCUUAUUCCCUGCUACAGGGUUAGCCAGCCAAGUGGGGUACAGAACUUCCCUGAUUGCCCCGGCAGCCUUAAGCUUGUCACCCUGCUUCCCGCCAGACUCUCCACCCGGCAAGGCCUUCUUCGCGGGCCUCGCGACAAGAGCCCCUGAGUCCGCAGCGAGGACUUGUUUCCUGCUGCGCUUGCGGGAACCCUUCUUUUGCGAGCCCUCGCCAGGGCUGCCAGCUCGGGCGCUAGGCGCCCUUCCUCGGCCAUGGCGCAUUUGUGCGCCAGGGCGUACAAGCCCUGCGUCGUCCGGAUCCGAUGCGUGCUCAGCUUCUCGCGCAUCUUGGCAUCGCGGACGUUGAUGAGAAAAGUGUUGAUUAUGGCGGCCGCCUCCGCCUCUGGGAUGGAGUAGAAGAGGUUGGAGAAGCGGUUGACAAAGGCCCGCAACGUCUCUCCCGGUUUCUGCACGAUAGUGUGCAGCUCCGCCAUGGUUCCCGGGCGCUUAUAGCCGCCCUGGAACGCGCUCACGAACUGCUCGCGCAGGUCCGCCCAAGUGGCGAUGGACCCGGCAACCAGGUUCGCGCUGAUCCUUUCAGGACCAUCGGGAACCAGUUCGCCCUGACCUUGUCGUCAGCGCCGAUGGCAUGCAUGCCCAACGUGUAGGUCAGGAGGAAAUCCUUGGGGUUAGCGGUCCCGUCGUACGUACCGAGCGCGGGCGCCCGGAACUUACGGGGCCACGUCACCCGCCGCAGCUCGCGCGUGAACGCGGUGCAGCCGUCCUUGGGGCCCAGGGGAGCGUCUUCCUGCUCCUGUGGGUGCGGGCGCUCUACCUCGCGCCUGCGCCGGCGCUCCAAGCGUUGGCGCAAAUCCUCCUGCUGGCGGGCAUUCAAGAUGCCGCGCGCAUCGCCCCCCGGAAUGGUGGGCGACGAGUUUGAGGACCCCUCUGGGCCCCCGUCUCCUUGGCCUCCCUGAGAAGGGGGAGGGUUCUCCCCCUGUCGUGAGGCGGGUGGCGCGUCUCCGCGCUCCGGGUUCUGCCCGUGGCCGGAGCCUACCGGCGCGCCCGCGCCUUGCGGCUGCUGGGCGGCUAGGGCGAGAAGCAGUUCCAGCUACUCGCCCCACGUCUCAUGCGCCGGCGUGCUCUGCUGCGGCUCGUACCGCACCAUGACGUGCAUGGCGAUGAUGGCUUCUGCCGGGGACAGCCACUGUUCCUUCGAUCGGACGGGUAACGACCCGUCGGUCAGCUCGUUUACUGAGCCAUGCGCCUUACUCCUUGCUCUGGUGGGACCGUGCAUCCCACGCCCGCCACGUGGCCUCGCGUGUCGCGCAGCGGUGGUACCCCGGGUGCCACGGGUGCGACACGAGGCGUGUCAGUUCCACGCGAAGAAGAGCAACCAGCCGGCGCAGGCCUUGCAAGUGAUCACAUCUUCCUGGCCGUUCGCGGUCUGGGGGCUGGACAUCGUCGGCAAGUUACCAAGGGUGGUUGGCGGCUACGAGUACUUGCUCAUGGCUAUCGACAAGUUCUCCAAGUGGGUGGAAGUGGAGCCAGUGCGGAAGGUGACCGCUCAAGCCACCAUCAAGUUCUUCAAAGGCAUCGUGUGCCGGUUUGGUGUGCCUAACGGCAUUAUCACCGACAACGGCACACAGUUCACGAGCGUCGUGUUCCAAGCCUACUGCGAGGACAUGGGCACCAAGAUCCACUUUGCUUAUGUUCCUCACCCGAGGAGCAACGGACAGGCGGAGCGAGCCAACGCAGAAGUGCUGCGGGGGCUGAAGACAAGAACCUUUGACGAGCUCAAAGGCCACGGGAAGCACUGGGUCAAUGAACUCCAGCCCGUGUUGUGGUCGAUCAGGACCACACCUAGCCGGGCAACGGGUGAAACUCCUUUCGCCCUUGUCUAUGGGGCAGAAUCGGUGCUUCCCCUCGAGCUCAAGCAUGGAUCCCCUCGAAUACGCGCGUACGGCAACCAUAGCCAACACGAGUAGAGGGUUGACGAUCUAAGCUUCGUCGAAGAACUUCGAUGCUGGGCUGCUGUGCGGGCUGCACGCUACCAGCAGGAAGGGUCCAUCCCCGGGAGCUCGAGAUCGGAGACCUUGUCCUGCGCCGGAUACAAGGCACGAAGGCCGGGAACAAGCUGGCUCCGAAAUGGGAGGGGCCCUUCCGGGUAGUGCAGGUAACCAGGCCGGGGGCUGUCCGGCUGGAAACCGAAGAAGGCUUGCCGGUGCAAAAUAGUUGGAAUCUUUAGCACUUGCGUAAGUUCUACCCGUGAAGCGAUGGAGCCCGACCCACAGGUGAUGCUCCGGCAGCAUGCCUCUCGAGAUAGUGUAGCCGGGCAACCCCCGAUUGUAAACCACUAGCUUUUAUUAAUAAAGAUAAGUACUUUCCUCUGAAUUUCAAGCUGCCUCGAAUAUUUGCAUGUUUUUUUCCAUCUGUCUCCUGCUUUAGGUGCACAAAAGUCUCUUUCCAUCCUUGGUUGUGAGCAGGGGCUGCCGGAGCCUUGAAAACGAAAAACCCGCUGCCGGAUUACUCCGGCACGAGGCCAUGCCGUUGCCGGGCUCCCCGCAACGCGCAUCACGCAGGAGCUGUGUCCUGGAAUAGAAAGGUGCUCACACCCAAGUUUGUAUCGACCCUUCUGUGCCCGGGGGCUGGGGGCAGGAGGGUUGCUUGUGCUUUAUUCAUGUUGCGUCUUUUUUCGUGUAUUUCGAAAAAAAAUUGCAGCAUCUUGCGCUCGGUAAGAAUCUGACAUGCAGGGCAAGGACGGAGUUGUGCGCACUGUAAUCCUCGUGGGUCGCUCAGGGGUUCUGUCAUUUAGCGGUGUCCGAUUGUGCGUAGCAACCGCACUUCGAGGUUUUCACCGCACUCCGAGGUUCCUGCAGCAGGAGGGAGCCACCACGUGUGCUGCGGCGACUUGGCGCGCGCGGUGGCAGGGCCCUUACCGCACUUCAAGGAGUGUGGCACCACGGGUGCCGCGGUAACUCGGCGCGUGUGGUGGCGAGGUUCUUCACCGCGCCUAUAAAAGGGCGCGGUGGUCAUGGAGCAGCUCCGAGCGAAGCCAAGAGGAUGGCUACAAAGGCGAGGGAGGCCGCAGAGACGCGAUGGAGGUGCAUGCCACCCGCGCUCAGUGCCGGUGGGUGCACGGCCAUCAUGUCCUUGUCGCAUCCCUCCACCAGGCAGUUCCGAGGCGAGGGUUGCCGCGGAGACGCUUUGGUGGCGCCGCCACCGGUGCUUGGCACUGGCGCCGGCCCCGCCACAGCGUUCCUACCGCAUCCCUCAAGCAGGCAGGUUCAAGGCGAGGGCCAUUGCGGCGGCGCUCUGGGGGUGCAUGCCAUCAGUGCCUAGCGCCGAUAGGUGCACUGCCAUAGCGUCCUUGCCGCGCCCCUCCGACAGGCAUUCCGAGCGCAAGAACGAACAGCUAAGUGCAUGAUCUUGGAUGCUGAACUUUCUGACGCUAAACAUUGGCUCGCUGGUGUGGCUCGAGCCGUCUGUGUGACUGGGGUGUUAGAAGGACGCUUGCGGGGCGAGUGCGCUCCACGUGCGGCUUGCGGGUCCGCCCCGUGAGUGCAUGCUUGGGAGUAGCUAUCCCGCGAGCGGAGUGGCUCGCCGCUGCCACUUGAUCCCAGGUCGGCACUGCGGGUCCGUCUUGGGUCCCUGGUCUGAUUAAGUGUGUGGCAUGCGAGUCCCCGGCAACACAGGGCAUAACACACGAAGGCCGGGAGAUCCACCCCGCGAGUCAAUCCCGGGAAUGAGAAACGAGUACUAAGUAGAACCAAAGAACGAAGUUCAUAAAGGCAACAAACAAUUACAUGAACUAAUAAAACAUUAAUUGUUUAAACGGUGCCGAGCGCGACGCUUGCAGGAAUCAAAGAUAAAAACACGAAGACAAAACGAGGACUGGCAGGGCGCUGCGGUGACUAGUUGCCGGCGUCUUCCGCUGGGGGCUUUGGCUCCGGCUCUGGCUCUGGCUUCCUCUGCUUCCGGUCCACCACCUCGUCGAAGAACCUGCUCACUGCCUGGCAGUGGGUGGGGCCAUCCUCGCUGUCAGACCAGGCAUCUAGUAGCGUCUCGAAGGGGAAGACCGGGUGGCGGAGGUGCACUCGGGGAAGGAUCGUCCCGGCGAUAUCCCUGGCGCACGUGGCGAUCUCCUGGUCGCAGAACAUGGAGAUCCACACGUCAAGCACCCCGAGCUUCCCCACCAUGUCGGAGAAGAACGGGAUCAGCGUGCUGACGUCCGUAUCGUCCACCUGCACGGUCUGCAGCUCGAAUCACGGUAGCAGGUCGAGCACUGCCUUGGCGAUCUCGAGCAGCUUUAGGGACUCCCUCCGGCGCUGCUCCACCAGUGUGGCAUGGUUGCUGCGUGCCAGCACCACAACGUGCUUAGACUUGCGGAGAAGGUCCGCCUACCGCGCGAUCUCCUUGGCCUUGGCCACGUUGUCCUCGCCUGCCUUGACGAGCUCCUCCCUGGCGGCAGCAAACUCGGACUCGAGCUGGGCACUCUUCUCCUUGGCAGAGUUGAGCUCCUUCUCCCGCCGUACCGACGCCACUGCCGCAUCCUCCGCAGCCUUAGCCUGCUCCUCCAGUUGGUGCGCAGCCCCUGGAGUUGGGAGAGGUAGCUGCAGACCAGCUCGCUUUUCUCGUUGAGACGAGCCUGGGCCGUAGCGAGCACCUCCUCAUGCACUUUCCUGGCCUUCGCUUGCGCCGUGGCCAGCGAGUCUAGAGCCAUCCGGUGGAGCCCCGCUUUUGGGACGAUCGGCGCUGCGGCUUCGACCCUGGCCUGCCGCAGCCGGGAGAGCUCCUGCCGCUCCCUCUCAACGGCCUGUCACACCACGCCAAGCUGGCCCUUCGCGAGCUCGUGGCGCUCCCUCACCUGGUUGAAGGAGGUGACGAACGCCAGCUGCUGCUCCUUGAUCGCGUCAAGGAACUGGUGCCCCUGGUCAUAGAUGCUUGGGUCCCAAGUCAGCCCGACGAGAAUGCCGGAGUCCGGGCCGAAGGCAGCAGAAGACGACGACGAGGCCCCCGCCACCACUGUUUGGCCGGGAGGUGCGUCGUCCCCCUGCAGCGGAGCCUCCUGCUGCUUCCCUGCCGCAGCCUCCUCCACGCCCGCGCCCAUGGGUUGCGGGGGUGGCGGAGUUGCCGUUCCCCCGGCAGGAGGUGCCUCCUGUCGGGUGACCGCGGGAUCCGCGUCCUCGGCCUGCACGGACCGGGACGCGCCACCGAGCUUCGCCCUGGUAGUGACGGCGGGCGCCGCCACCGUCGUGUCCGCCGCGCAGGAGCUGGGCGCAGGAGCCUCUUCCGGCUCCUCCCUUGCCUCCGCGUCCUCGGCGUCGGAGCCGAGGUCAACCACCAUGUUUCCGCUCCCGUUGUGAGCACGGUCGGGACUGUGACAAAGAGUGAAAUUAGAACCUAGAAAUAAGAUGAAUUGCCCAGUGAUGAACGCAAGAACGCUCCGAAUGAGUACCUUGCAGGGCCGCCGAGCUUGCGGGAGGUGCUUCCUCCUCUUCCGUCCCGGCUGCUGUUGCCGGGCCACAUGCCGCGGGCAGGGCUUCGCCUACGAGUCAAGAAGGCAGCACGAUUGCAGGUCAGCAAACGGGAUUAACUUGUGCAAUGGGAUCAAGAGAGGGGUCAUGUAACAGCCCAAGAGCAACUUUUACAUUUAAGCCCAGCGCGGCCCCGCUUCUCCCAGCGCGCCCCACGUUCCGCCUUCCCGCGUCAAAAACGUAAUCUGGGAAAUACGCUUUGUCUCACAGAGCCUUUUCCUCCUCCUGCCUCCCUCUGCUUUUUCCUCGUCCUCCACUCAGCUAGCGCCACGUCCUCCCUUUUGACGCGACGGCCUUGGCUGCGCCUCCUAUUUGAGCUGCUCCGCGCCCUCCUCUCAACCCUAGCACAGGGAAAGCCCUAGAAGGACUUUCCUCCCUCUCCUUCUGUUCGCCGCCGCCAUCUUCUUCCUGGCCGCGGGCGUCUUCACGUCGCGCCGCCGUUCCAGCCCGAACCAAGAAUAACCGCGCACGUCACCUUGUUCGCUCGGAGCUGCUCUUCGUCUGGACGCGAGGAAUCGACCGAAGAUCGCCUACGUCGUCGCCUAGCUCCUCUUCUUCAACUCCGGCCGCCGCCGACAGCGAGCCUCCCCUCGCACGAUCUCGUGCACGGUGAGCUCCGCCUCGUCGUUGCGCCUCUGUCUCUCACUUCCCCUCCCUCUAGAACUCCCUGUAGCGCUAGGACGACGAGACCACGCCAUGGACGCCGCCGUCGAGCUUCGGAUCCGUGCCGUGCGCACGUGCAAGAGGGGCUUGUGUGGUGGCCGUCGAGCCACCUUGCCCUUUUGUAACAUCCCAAAAAUUCAAACUCUUUCAUAUGCAUUGCAUCCAUGAGCAUCAUGCCACAUUUGCAUGUUUGAAUUCAAAUUUUAAUUCCAAAAAGGCUUUAAGAAGAUUUUAUUCCAUUUUAAAACCCUAGUAUUUCACCCAUUUGAGCUUUGGAUCUCUAAACCAAUAGGGUUUAUCUAUAAAAGGGGUUUAUUGCAUAAAUAAACUAUCCCAUAAUUUUUUGAGUAUUUAUUGGAGUUGAAAAACUAUUUUAUUUAAAUAGUUAUAUAGCCCUAAAGGCACUUAUAGCGCAAAUGUAUUUUUAUAUAUUUUUUUUGGAAGGGAAAUUACUCCCAAAAGUUGAAUCAUGCUAUAACAUGAUUAUACAAAUUUUCUAGAAUUUAUUUGGAUCAAUUUGGAGUUCAAAAUCAAAAGACAUCAAAGAAAACAGAAAAAGAAAAAGAAAAGAACAAAAAAAAAAGAAAACCGGACCGGCCCGGCCAUUUUGGGCCGAACCGGCCCGGUCCCACCCGAGCCCGCCGAGCCUGGUCCGCGCGCCACUGACAGGUGGGGCCCACCGGUCAGGGUGUUCGUCCUCGAUGUGAAUUAUUACUUGGAACUUGUACUUUAUGACCAUGUUACUGUUUAUCAUAUUUGGGCAAAGUGUAACCACUGUUAUCAUUCAUCUUACUAGCUAAUGGAUAAUCUAUUUCUCUAAAUGCCUAGAACUUUUGAUUAAAUUGGAUGCAUCAUUCUAUCACAUGCCAUGCAUCCUUGUUUGCGCAUUGCACCCAAUGAAUGCUUAUUCUACCUACCUUGUGUGUUUGGAUCUUAUCGUUAGCGACUCCGACUUACUCAGUCGAUGAUCCGGGUUCCCACACUUCUUCGGAUCCCCUCUCUCGGUGCCCAGCGACCGAGAAUCCAGGCAAGCAGCCAUUCCUUGAACAUGUUGAUUAUACCCAAUGCCUCUCUCUCGUUCUUGCAUUAAGUUAUGUUCUCAGUUCUUGUCACGAUGCCUCUAGGAAUUGCAUAGCUUUAGUCAGCUCUACUCAAAUGCAUGUUGUCUUGUUCCUUAUCCUAUUACCAUGUCACAUGUUUGUUAUUGUCCUAGUUGGUCAUUAGAAGUCUUGCUUAGAUGGCUAGUCUAGUGUCCUUACUUGGGGUUAUACACUUGCUACAUCCACAUGCUACUUUCUGUAUUUAAUUGUAAUUAUUAAACUGUGACCUGUUACUACCUGCACAAGGCAACGAUGGGACGCCGUGCUAACGCAUUGGUGUUUUGUUCCAUUGGCGCCGACCUAAGGAUUGAGUUCUCGUUUUCUCCGACCCAAGAAACUUCGCGCUAACCGCUCGUGGGAGAAUAUAUGGGUUCCCCCUCGGCUUAGUACUUGUUUCAUAGCUCUUCCAGGGGCCACAUAGUUCGGGCGUUCCAUUUGGCAUAUCGCAUAUACGCUGGUGUUGUGUUUGGAGAUUUGUUGGUACUUUGCAUACAUAUAGGAUUGCGGCACUAGUCUGGAGUGGUCAUUCUGCGGACACUGAACCACUACCAGCUGUCCUCGCAACAAUUGAGUCCGUACGAUGCUUCAGCCAGGCUCUCGUUUCGGCUUAGACUCCGUUGGGUGGUCCCCUGGAUUAGUUGUGGGGCUUGGAAACAUCGUGUCGCCCAAUCCUGCCGACACACGUCUUUGUGUGUUCCUACUCGAGUGGCAACAAGGUUUGGACGAACGUGUACGGGUAAAUUGGCACACCCUACAGGGAUAAACCUUUCGGAAAGCCGUGUCCGCGGUUAUGGACGACUUGGUUGGUCAUUACUUGAUCAUAGAGAACUCACUCAUUUUAAUUAAUUUAAUCUCUUGAACUUGAGUAGUAAUUAGCCUUUCAUCAUGGAUAUGCUUAAAACUACUUAAGCGUGAAUGCCUUUGGAUCAUUUCCUCACAAUGGGUUGGGGGGGGGGGUGAUAAGAGGUUGUGUUUGCUUGGUGUUAGUUGUUAGAAGAUCACCUCACUUAGUAGACGCUCCUGAUCCUCUAAUUAGACGAUGUCAUUAGUGUGUCUCUCCAGAUAUAUUGCUGCUGCAUAACCCCACCAUAUUAUCCAUCCUUUGAGACUUCUUGCACCUAGUUUAGAUUUCCCGUAAGUCUUGCGAGUACUUUGUACUCAGUUGCUUUGCAACGUUGUUUUCUCCAGAGUUCCUAGAGGAUCAGGUGAGUGGUUACUUCGUGGAGUUUGACAACGACAGCUUCGACGUUUAGCCAGAAGAUUCUAGAGCAGGGUUCUGUGAACUUGUGGCGGGCUCUCCUUUCAGUUUCAGCCUCUUAGGCAAUAAUUGUAAACUUGUCCGUACUCGGGCCUAAUUUGCUUCCGCUGGUGUAAUAAUGAUUGUGGACAUGUGUCCGUGAGUUGUAAUAACUUUGCAUUUCGCUCCUUGUAUGAGCUUGACUUAAUCUUGUGUCUUAGAAGUGAUGUAAUGAUAUCAUUUUUUUUCCAACAUGCGGUGAACAAAUUGCGUGUAUGUUGUGAAGUGUUCAUCCUAGGGAGGCACUGGGACUUGAUUUAUGCGCGAGUUAGCAUUUGGGGCUAAAUUGCAUAAAUUCAGUCUCGGGGUCUCACAAUUUGGUAUCAGAGCCUCGCUGCCCUUAGAUUUCUCCCUGGUUAGAAAUGGUCGAAGUUAAGUCUAGUAACUAUUUUCAUCUCGAAACUAUUUGAAAAAUGGAAAAGUAGACUCUGAUUUUUCUUCUUUUCCCACCCACGCACCCUUCUUGUUUUGGAAAAUUCCCUCUUUUCCUCAGUUUGUAAACUAGGUAUCUCGGGGUUUGUUAUCCGUAGUUCCUUUUAGUUAGUGGCAUUCAAGUUCUUUUGUGGUUUUAGUUGUCAGAGAAAAGACCAUUCCUUCUUGUUUAGCUCAUAUCUAUAGUGCAUAGAUAAAGCUAGUUCUUCCAAAGUUCUAAUCCUGCAAUCACUUUCUUUCAGAUGUCGCUCUACAGGUGGUCUUGAUGUCCAACUGUGAGACUACCCCUGAGGUGCUCCGUGAGAUCAUGAGGCAAAUCGGUUUCCGAUACCAGCCGGAGUACACGGUAUUCGAGGAUUACCGUGACUUCAACCAGGAGUACUACCGUGCCGUUGUCCGCCUCCACCAAGAUCUGCCUUCAGAAAAGUUUCCAGUGGACAAAGCAGUGGGAACUGGGCAUACCAUCGAGUUGGCAAUCCAACAGGUGGCGUACAUGUGCGUGACCCUACUCCGCAGGAAGUACGAAAGGCUGGACAAAGGACCGUUCAAGUACAUCCCAAGGGGCUUCAUCACGUGCGAGAACAAGUUCUUCACACUUCCAGGCUUGCCCGACGAGAAGGUUGCGAAUGACAGCUACGAUUUCUGCAACUUCGUGUCAAGCCAGGAGCACAUGAUGGCAAACAUGCGUGCUGAGGUCGAGCACUACUGCAAGCAACUAUGGAUAGCACUCAGUCACCUCUCCGCCGUGGUUGAUGCAGGAAUGUACGAGAAUGAAGUUCGCUAUCCUCCGAGACCUCCUGCUCCUCAGAUGCUCCAUGCGUUUCCAAUGGAUGGGUUUACUCCAGCACGUGGGCCACCAAGAGUGUUCAAGAGUACGUACCUUCCGCGUCAGUUCCUGUACGGGGAACAGAAGGCAGAUGCGUAUGUGUUUCCGUACUCUCCGCAGCUACUGCCGACGUUUUGAUAGCUUUAUCAAGAUAGGUCUCUUGUAUCCGUAGUUCCAUCUAUGGCCACACUUCCUGUGCGAUGUGAAUGGCAAGAUAAGUAGUGUAAUCUUUCCUUUGCUUUGGAUGAUUGUAAUCACUAAAUCUUUGGAUGGCACUAUGUGGUAUCUCAGACUUCAUGUUAUCCUUUAAUCCUGUCUUUGAGGUUUUACGUCAUGCACUAUGUUUCAACUAUUGUGUAAACCAUUGUGCAAACAGGAUGGCACCUGUUCGUCGUGAUCCUCCUCCUCCGCCAGAGUUAGGCAACAUACUGCUUCAGAUGGAACAAAUAAUGACCAGCAAAACAAUUAGGGCAACAAUUCAAACAAUGGGACUAAUGGCAGGGUUUCCAUCAAGGAUUUCCUUGCUCUCAAUCCAAGGACUUUCUCUCUACCGUCAGAACCACUUGAUGCUGAUGACUGGCUUCGUGAGAUGGUCCGCCCUCAUUGCACGGUUCGUGUGGCAAAUGAGGACAAGGUUCCUUUUGCGACCUACGUCCUUCGAGGUGAAGCAGCCGCAUGGUGGGAGAAUUUCCAAGCUUCCAAGCACCCUGAUGAAUUCAUCACUUGGUUUGACUUCCAGGACGCUUUCCUAAAGCACCACAUCCCAGCUGGUCUGAUGGACAGAAAGCGUGAGGAAUUCUGCAGUCUGACUCAGGGCAAGAGUUCUGUUCUCGAAUGCUGCAAGGAUUUCAACCGUCUUGCUUGCUAUGCUGGCGAUGAGAUCUCUACCGACUUGAAGAAACAACAAAAGGUUUCGCAAGGGUCUCAGUCCGUCGCUGAAGUAUGCUCUCAAUCUCAUCAGGUGCAAUUCUUUUGAAGGCUUGGUCAAUACUGCUCUGCAAGCUGAGUAUGGCCGUGCACAAUUUGAGGAUUCUCGCAAACACUCUCAUGAUAUUGGGUCUUCUUCCUCAGGCAACAACAAUGUUGGUUCUCAAAAACGGAGGUUGUGGGUUCCCAACAACGCAACUGUCCGUCCAGCAUAUGGUCAGAAGAAUGGUGGUCAAGGUUCCCGCCCAACCUCCCAGGCUGUCUCUCUCAAGAGCUACAAUGGGCAGCAAAGACCUCAGAAUCAGAACAGUGACACCAGAGUCUGUUACAAGUGCAAACAGCCAGGCCACAUUGCUACUCACUGCCCUCUGAAUCAGAUUCAGGCAGCACCUCGCCCUCCUUCAAGCCAGGCGAUGGUUCCAGCUCAGGGUAAUCAGCAAAGCUCUUGUGACAACAACAAGUCUAAUGCCAACCGUGCCCGUGUCAACCAUGUUAAUGCUGAGCAAGCAGAGGAAGCUACCGAUGUUGUCAUCGGUAAUUUGCAUGUUAAUUCUGUUCUUGCUAAAGUAUUAUUUGACACUGGAGCAUCGCAUUCUUUUGUUUCGCACUCUUUUGCACAAGCAAUUGACUAGCAACAAGACACCUUGCUUAACCCUGUUCUAAUCCAAACCCCUGGGUCCCAGUCGAGUUCAAUUAAGAUAAGUCGUGGCAUCCGAAUCCAAAUCGGCAAUCUUGUCUUCUUUGCCGACCUCCUAGCCCUCGGACCCUCUGACAUUGAUGUCAUUCUAGGGAUGGAUUGGCUUAAACCUCAUCAAGUUUUGAUAGACUGUGCUGCUAAGUCUGUCAUUCUAACACGUCCCACUGGCCAGAUAGUCACUUUCCACUCUUUUAAGGCCACAAACACCCAGCUCUACUCUCUAGACGCAAAGCCACUUCCAACUUUGGAAUCUGUUAGGGUGGUUUGCGAAUUCCCGGAUGUUUUUCUUGAAGACUUACCAGGCAUGCCUCCCGACAGAGCGGUUGAGUUUGUGAUCGAACUCGAACCAGGAACUGCUCCUGUUCAUAGCCGUCCUUACAAGAUGUCUCCACCAGAGUUGGCGGAACUUAAAAGACAACUUGAAGAGUUGGAGAAGAAAGGAUACAUCUGUCCAAGCUCCUCUCCUUGGGGUUGUCCCACUCUGUUUGUCCAGAAGAAGGACAAAACCGAACGUUUGUGUGUUGAUUAUCGUCCUCUUAAUCAACAUACAAUCAAGAACAAGUACCCACUUCCUAGGAUCAACGAUCUGUUUGACCAACUAGCCGGAGCCGCAAUUUUCCCAAAACUUGAUCUACGCUUAGGGUAUCAUCAAAUCAAAAUCCAGAAGGAGGACAUUCCAAAGACCACUUUCACUACUCGUUAUGGUCUUUACGAGUACACGGUCAUGUCUUUUGGCCUCACCAAUGCUCCAGCUACCUUCUCUCGUCUAAUGAAUUCUAUUUUCAUGGAAUAUCUGGACAAGUUCGUUGUGGUCUACUUGGAUGAAAUUCUUGUCUACUCUUAAUCCGAGGAAGAACAUGAAGAACAUCUUCGCCUCAUCCUUUCCAAACUUCGUGAAAAUAGACUCUAUGCUAAGUUCUCCAAGUGUGAGUUCUGGCUUCCAGAAGUCAAUUAUCUUGGUCACGUCAUCUCAGCAAAGGGAAUUGCUAUCAAUCCGGAGCGAAUUCAGGACAUUGUUGGGUGGUCUCAACCCAAGAAUGCAAAGCAAAUCCGGAGUUUCCUUGGUUUGGCAAGUUAUUGCCGACGUUUCGUCCCCAAUUUCUCCAAAAUUGCCAAGCCUUUGACCGACCUUCUCAACAAAGAAGUUUGUUUGGACCUCUCAGUGCGAAGAGGGCUUUAAACUUUUGAAGGAAAAACUCACUACACCUCCAAUCUUGGCUCCUCCAGAUACUACUUAACCUUUCCAAAUCUAUUGCGAUGCAUCUCGCCAAGGUCUAGGCGCUGUCCUUUUCCAAGAUGGGCAAGUUGUGGCAUAUGCGUCUCGCCAACUUCGUCCAAAUGAACUCAACUAUCCCACGCAUGAUCUUGAACUCGCUGCAGUUGUUUUUGCAAUAAAAACAUGGCGGCAUUAUCUUGCUGGUGUACCUUGUGAGAUCUUUACGGAUCAUAAGAGCCUCAAGUACAUCUUCACCUAGCCUGAUCUCAAUCUCAGACAGCGACGAUGGAUGGAGUUGAUCUCAGAAUACAAUCUGUCGAUUAAUUACACUCCAGGCAAAGCUAAUGUUAUGGCCGAUGCCCUUGGUCGCAAAUCUGAUUGCAACUCUCUCACAGUCACAGAAUUACCUCCUGACCUUUGUGAAGACUUCAAGAAUCUUAACCUCGAGCUUGUUCCGAAAGGUUAUCUUGAAAUCUGGUCGUCACUUCUGUUUCAUCCUUGGAAGACAGAAUUCGUAAAGCUCAGCUCCUUAUGAUUUGGUCAAGAACGUUUCUGAUCAGAUAAAAACUAAAGAUCCCAAAGCUAAGAAAUUCUCACUUGAUGACAAAGGAACUGUGUUCUUUGAUGAUCGCAUGGUUGUUCCUAAUAAUCAAGACAUAAGAGAUUCUAUUCUCAAAGAAGCCCAUGACACACCUCUUGCUAUCCAUCCCGGUUCUACCAAGAUGUAUCAAGACAUCUGAAAGAGCUAUUGGUGGACUGAAAUGAAAGAGCAUAUUGCUAGAUAUGUGUCUGAAUGUGAUGUAUGUCGCCGUGUUAAGGCAGAGCAUCAGAAGCCUGCUGGUCUUCUUCAACCUCUGAGUGUUCCAACAUGGAAGUGGGAGAAGAUCGAAAUGGACUUCAUCACUAGGUUUCCGAAAUCUCGCAAGGGCAAUGAUGCAAUAUUUGUGGUGAUUGACCGACUUUCUAAAGUCACUCACUUCUUGCCUGUCAAAGAAACAAUCUCAGCUAGUCAAUUGGCCGAAUUGUACACUGCCAGAAUUGUCUCUCUCCAUGGUGUCCCAGUUGAAAUAAGCUCCAAUCGUGGAAAUAUCUUUACAUCCAGAUUUUGGGAAAGCUUUUAGAAGGCAAUGGGCACUUAUCUCGUGUUCAGCACCGCUUUUAAACCUCAAACUAGUGGUCAAGUUGAAAGUGUAAAUCAGGUCCUUGAAGACAUGCUUCGAGCUUGUGUCAUGUCCUUUGGUCUGAAAUGGGAAGAAUCUCUGCCGUUUGCGGAGUUCUCUUACAACAAAAGCUAUCAAGCAAGUCUGGGCAUGGCGCCAUUCACUUUCCUCUAUGGUCGCAAAUGUCGCACUCCCUUGAUGAUGAGGACAUCCCAACUAAUGAUACAACCACAGCCCCUACAGCACAUACACCUCAAGUACCGGAGAUACAUGGACCAAUUACUAGAGCUCGUGCACGACAACUAAAUUAUCAGGUACUUUCGUUCCUCGGUACUUCAUUUAAUAUUAAUGAGAACAUGCUGCUGCCUAAGAUGGGUUCUUUUAUGUGUUUUAGGAAUGAAGGACCUAGCUUGCACCUCAAGGAUCAGCGUUGGACAGCAAACCAUGGAGGUGGCAGCAAGGUGGCGGGAGCUAGCUCAAGUGAUGAUUUCAGAACAUUGAAACCGCCAUAACGAGAGAUGAGAAGAAGGCCGCAUCCUCUUCAUCAAUGGGAUUUCGGCCAAGUGGAGGAUUCUCCCUCCAAUGGGUAUCUAUGGGCCAAAGAUGAGGGUUAUAACCUUGGUUUAUUGGGCCUAAGGCCAUGUAAUAGGGUCCAGCCAAUUUUUAGAUGUUUUCGCUGUGUUUUAGGAGGAUUCCUAGGCCGUUUCGGAGUCCCUCAAGGACCUGUCCGAAAACCACCUAGUUCCCCUCCUAUUUAUACCCCAUGUGCCCCCCAUGGAGCCUUGGGUUUUGAUUAGAUAAAGUUUAGCCUUUGCUACUUUCGUGUAAUCGCGUGUGUCGGUUAGACCACCUGUUUUACCGUCAUCAAGACUCCAACUAUAUUGAGUAUUCAGAUUCGUGAACCUUCAUAUCUCCUAUUCGCAAUUUCAGAUUGCUUUUCAUCUUGUUCUUGCUUGUUCUUCGAUUGCUUGCAGGAACAAAGACCUUCGUGGUCAGGUUGAUCGUGCCCCCGCGGGAUCAAUAACCUUCUGGAGUUGGUGUAUCGAUCGCUAAGGCGCUGCCUCCUAGGUUGUAGUCGGAUCGUCAACGUCACCUCCUACCAAAUCGAUAAUUAGGUAUCUCAUCGAAAGAUCGGGACACCCUCGAGGCUAUCACGUGGUAUCAGAGCUUAAGGUUGCUCGGUGAGAUUUUUCCAGUUUAUCCGUAGUUUAGAUCUGUUUUUACCUAUCGUCCAGAAAAAGCCAAACAAAAAUUAGAAUUAGUUACCUUGUCCUAGAACCAAUCUGAGCCUUGCAAUUUUCACAUUAGUAUUUGCAUUGUUGAAUCUUUGCUGCAUUAAUCGUGUCGAGUUGCUGGAUUAGAUUGGAUCGUUUUUCAGAUUUUUUCUACUAGAUCGAACUUGCUUUUGGUUUUCUUGUUCUUCGUGUGACGCAGGUUUCCUUCAUCAAUCUUCCACCGCCACCAUAUCUUCCACCGAGUCCCUCUUCGAGUCCUACACCGAGUCCUUCUUCCAGUCCUACACCGAGUCCCUCUUCGAGUCCUACACCGAGUUCCUCUUCGAGUCCUACACCGAGUCCUACAUCGAGUCGGCAAGUUAUAGUUUUCAGCCGCGAGUUUGAGUCCGAGUCCAAUCAAGAGUGCUUUUGGAAAGUGUUUCAUAAUAGAUCGAUUUUUGUUUAGAGAUCAAGUUGUUCGGAAAGUUGUGAAAAAAAAAAGAAGGGAAAGAAAAAAAAAGGAAGAAAGAAAGGAAAAAAUACGGAAAAAAAAAAAGAGAGAAAGAGUUCGAGUCAGUUUCGGACCCGAGUCCGAGUAGAAUUUUAGUUUCGGGUGGGUUUGACCCGUGUUCAGUAAAACGGACGUAUCUUUUGCAUACCAACUCGGAUUUGGACGUUUUUGGACUUUUUGGAAAGCUCACGACGAGGCGCAUCAGGAAAUAUCCAGGGCAACGCCCUGCACUUUGACCCUCAAAUUCGGCCUCUAAGGUGGACUUUUCGAGCUCCAAAGUUUCUGCACCCGUUUUACGGCACCGGGGCAGCGCAGUAUAUCUCAGUUUUCUCCACCGUCCGACCUCCGUUUCGAGUGAUCUUGCACUUGUUGGAAAGCUUGUUUUGAUACGCUUCUAACCCAUAUUUUCUCAUAUUUUUCUGAGUUUUCCUUACUACAGCCUUUAAUAUUCUCCUACAGACCGACGUGCAGCUUUCCGGUCUUAACUUCUUUUGCGUGAGUUUCUGGGGAUAAAAAAAAAUAGAAAAGAAUAAGAAGCCAAACAGAAGGCCACAAAAAGAAAAAAAAAGAGAGAAAAAAUAUUCCCCAGAGAUUUACUUGUUUUACCUUUCAUUUGAUCUUUCCUUUCUACCUUUUUCAGUAUCUAGGCUUAGUUAAUUUCUGUAAUUCGUUCUUGUCGACUCCAGCAACUAGGACUAGCAUUUUUGAGCAUAUUUUCAACUUUGCAUUGCUGAUUUGAUUAUUUGCUUUUCCUUGCUACUCACAUAAGCCUCCAAGCUCCACAGAUUCUACACCUAGGUUGGUUUGCCUCGAGGCAUCGAUACACUAAUCUUCGGAGGGCUUGUUCUCGCCGCUGGCCAUCACCUUCCUGUUUGCGGGGUAAGAACGAGUAAGAACUUGAUUAAAAGUUGAGUGGAGUGAUCUUUGGAACCCCACAUCCUAGUAGUGCAUAGGGACUUUUCCUUGUGAUUUGUUUCUUGUUUUUUCCUAACGAUGGCAUGUUCUGACGAUGAUUUACAAGGCCACUCUCCACGCACAAAGGGCAUUAUUUCACAUUUUGAUCGCAAGCUUAGGCUCCGUAACGAGGAGCUGGAUGAGGACGUUCGGGUUGCGAAUGAGAGACUUGGAACCUUGGAGAGCGCGCACAUUGAAACAAAUACCAAGCUAACAUCUUUACAGAAUUCUGUUGCUACCAUUAGUACUUCUCUGGCAGAAAUCACGACGCAACUGGCGGCAAUUGCUGCAACGACCAUCGCUACACCGGGAGGAAACAAUACACACAACCAGCGGACCGCUAAUAAGGGUACCUUCGCAAGCGAGGUUGAGGAGAACGACGACGACUACUCCGCGGAUACGGAACACGACGGGGCCGUAAACCAUCACAACGACCGUGAUCAUCGCCGAACUCGUUUCAACCGCCGAGGUAUGGGACCGACACGACCUCACAGAGAGGAACAUGACUCGCUGCAUUCUAUUAAACUUAAGGUUCCUCCUUUUGAUGGAAAAUAUGACCCUGAUGCUUACCUUACAUGGGAAUUAGAAUUGAGUCAAAAAUUUACUUGCCAUGAUUUUUCUGCUAAUAAGAGGGUUAGGGCUGCUACUAGUGAGUUUACUGAUUUUGCUUCUGUUUGGUGGCAUGAGUAUUGUAUUGCACAUCCUAACGCUAUACCACCAACAUGGGAUGAUUUGAAAAGAAUUAUGCGCGCUAGAUAUGUUCCUUCAUACUAUUCGCGUGACUUGUUAAAGAAACUACAACAAUUAAGACAAGGUAGUAAUUCUGUCCAAGAUUAUUAUCAAGAAAUGCAAAAGAACAUGUUACGUUGUGGUUUAGUUGAGAAUGAGGAAGCUGCUAUGGCUAGAUUCUUUGGUGGUUUAAAUCGUGAAAUUGCUGACAUUGUUGAUUAUAAGGAGUAUAAUUCUAUCAAUCGAUUGUUUCACAUUGCUUGCAAAGCUGAAAGGGAAGUGCAGGGACGACACGCGAACGCGCGGACUAACUUUUCUGCAGGUCGUACUUCCUCAUGGGCAGCACGCAGCCCCGCUGCCCCUUCCACACGCCUAGCUGCACCCCCUACACGUCCGGCUGUUCCGACUACUUCCACCAACAAGCAAAGUACCUCUACACCUACAUCCGCAAAGGUUGGACCAGCAGCAACAAGAAAUACACCCGCUGCCUCUGCACAAAGUUCAGCAGCGUCCGUUGCUUCCACCGGACGGACCGGAGAUAACCAAUGUCGUAGGUGCAAAGGAUACGGGCAUUUUCAGCGGGACUGUCCAACCAAACGCGUUAUGAUCAUACGUGAAGACGGAGUAUAUGAUUCAGCCAGUGAUUUUGACGAAGCUACCUAUGCUCUCAUUGUCGAGGAAGAGCAAGACGACCCCGCUGCCCACCAUGAUGAGGAGUUAAUGGGAGCUGAAGCCGCUGAUCAGUACUUGAGUUUGAUUGCACAACGCACCUUGAGCGUCCAAAUGAGCCACGCCGAACAAAAUCAGCGGCAUAACUUGUUCCAAACAAAAGGGGUCAUCAAGGAACGCGCUGUUCGUAUCAUCAUAGAUGGGGGAAGUUGCAAUAAUUUGGCCAGCACGGAGAUGGUGGAAAAACUUGUUCUUACCACCAGGCCGCACCCCCACCCUUACUACAUUCAAUGGUUUAACAACAGCGGUAAGCUCAAGGUAACUAGAACAGUCCGUGCACACUUUACUAUUGGUACAUAUUCUGAUUUUGUGGAUUGUGAUGUGGUACCUAUGCAAGCAUGUUCUAUGUUACUCGGUCGUCCAUGGCAAUAUGAUACAGAUUCUGUUCAUCAUGGUAGAACUAAUCAUUAUUCUUUUAUGCAUGCUGGUAAGAAAAUUGGUUUGAAACCUAUGACUCCUGAACAAAUUGUGAAAGAUGAUCUUGCUAGAGCUAGUAGAGCAAAGAGCAAAGAGAAGGAUAAGAGUGAGAACCAUAAUGUCGCUAAAGAAUUUAAGCACCAAGCGUCUACUAGCAAAUCUGAACCGAAACAUGUUAAUGAAAUUAAAUUGAAAGGUGCAUGCUUGCUUGCAAGUAAAUCCGAUAUUUCUGAGUUAGAUACGAAUAAUUCUGUUUGCUAUGCAUUCAUUUGCAAAGAGGCUUUGUUUUCAUUUGAGGAUAUGCCUCCCUCUUUGCCCCCUGCUGUUACUCACGUUUUGCAGGAGUAUUCCGACAUCUUUCCACAAGACGUACCACCAGGAUUACCACCUAUUCGAGGGAUUGAACAUCAAAUUGAUUUAAUUCCUGGUGCUUCGCUGCCCAACCGUGCGCCCUACCGUACCAAUCCAGAGGAGACGAAGGAGAUUCAACGACAAGUUCAAGAAUUGCUCGACAAAGGUUAUAUUCGUGAAUCCCUUAGUCCUUGUGCUGUUCCUGUUAUUUUGGUACCAAAGAAAGAUGGUUCUUGGCGUAUGUGUGUAGAUUGUAGAGCUAUUAAUAACAUUACUAUUCGCUAUCGUCACCCAAUUCCUAGACUUGAUGAUAUGUUAGAUGAAUUAAGUGGCUCUACCGUGUUCUCUAAAGUUGAUUUACGUAGUGGUUACCACCAAAUUCGAAUGAAAUUAGGCGAUGAAUGGAAAACAGCAUUUAAAACUAAGUUUGGACUAUAUGAGUGGUUAGUCAUGCCUUUCGGUCUUACUAACGCACCUAGCACUUUCAUGCGGUUAAUGAACGAAGUUUUACGUGCUUUCAUAGGACGAUUUGUGGUGGUUUAUUUUGAUGAUAUAUUGAUUUACAGCAGCUCUUUAGAAGACCACUUGAAUCAUUUACGUGCUGUUUUUGAUGCUUUGAGAGAUGCACGUUUGUUUGGUAACCUUGAGAAGUGCACCUUUUGCACCGAUCGAGUUUCGUUUCUUGGCUAUGUUGUCACUCCACAGGGCAUAGAAGUUGAUAAGGCCAAGAUCGACGCAAUUCAAAGCUGGCCAACUCCAACAACGGUCACCCAAGUGAGGAGCUUUCUUGGACUCGCUGGGUUUUAUCGCCGCUUUGUAAAGGAUUUCAGCACCCUUGCUGCACCGCUUAAUGAGCUCACAAAGAAGGACGUUCCAUAUGUAUGGGGCGCUGCACAAGAAGAAGUUUUUCUCAUAUUGAAAGAUAAGUUGACACAUGCUCCUUUACUCCAACUUCCUGAUUUUAAUAAGACUUUUGAGUCGGAGUGUGAUGCUAGUGGAAUCGGUUUAGGAGGUGUGUUGUUACAAGACGGAAAACCUGUUGCAUACUUUAGUGAAAAAUUGAGUGGGCCUAGUCUGAAUUAUUCUACUUAUGAUAAGGAAUUAUAUGCUCUCGUUCGGACUUUAGAAACAUGGCAACAUUAUUUAUGGCCCAAAGAAUUUGUUAUACAUUCUGAUCAUGAAUCUUUGAAGCAUAUUCGUAGUCAAGCAAAGCUGAACCGUCGUCAUGCUAAAUGGGUUGAAUUUAUUGAGUCUUUUCCGUAUGUUAUUAAACAUAAGAAGGGUAAAGAUAAUGUUAUUGCUGAUGCGUUAUCACGUCGUUAUACCUUGUUAUCUCAGCUUGAUUUUCGGACAUUUGGAUUGGAGACUAUAAAAGAACAAUACGAACAUGAUGCAGAUUUUAAGGAUGUUUUGCAGCAUUGUAAAGAGGGCAGAACAUGGAACAAGUUCGUCAUUAAUGAUGGAUUUGUGUUCCGUGCUAACAAGCUAUGCAUCCCAGAUAGCUCCGUUCGUCUUUUGUUGUUACAGGAGGCACAUGGAGGAGGGUUGAUGGGUCACUUCGCGUGAAAAAGACCGAAGAUGUGCUCGCUGAUCAUUUCUUUUGGCCUCGGAUGAGACGGGAUGUUGAGAGAUUUAUCGCUCGUUGCACUACAUAUCAAAAAGCUAAGUCACGACUCAAUCCUCAUGGUUUAUAUAUGCCUCUCCCUGUUCCUAAUGUUCCUUGGGAAGAUAUAUCAAUGGAUUUUGUUUUGGGAUUGCCUCGAACUAAGAAGGGGAGGGAUAGCAUAUUUGUUGUUGUUGAUAGAUUUUCUAAGAUGGCACAUUUUAUACCUUGUCAUAAGAGCGAUGAUGCUACAAAUGUUGCUGAUUUAUUCUUUCGUGAAAUUGUUCGCUUGCAUGGUGUGCCCAAUACUAUAGUUUCAGAUCGUGACACAAAAUUUCUUAGCCACUUUUGGAGAUGUUUAUGGGCUAAGUUGGGGACUAAACUGCUUUUUAGUACUACAUGUCAUCCCCAAACAGAUGGACAAACUGAAGUUGUUAAUAGAACAUUAUCUACUAUGCUUAGGGCUGUUUUAAAGAAGAACUUGAAAAUGUGGGAAGAAUGUUUACCUCAUAUUGAAUUUGCUUAUAAUCGUUCACUGCAUUCAACCACAAAAUUGUGCCCUUUUGAAAUUGUUUAUGGUUUUAUGCCUCGUGCACCAAUUGAUUUGUUACCUUUGCCAACUUCUGAAAAAAGUUAACUUUGAUGCUAAGGAACGUGCUGAACUUAUAAUAAAAAUGCAUGAGACGACUAAAGAGAACAUUGAGCGCAUGAAUUCUAAGUAUAAACUUGCGGGAGAUAGGGGCAGAAAACAAAUUGUGUUUGAACCUGGAGAUCUUGUUUGGUUGCAUUUGCGCAAAGAUCGUUUCCCUGAUUUGCGCAAGUCUAAGUUAAUGCCACGAGCUGAUGGUCCCUUUAAGGUGUUAGCAAAAAUUAAUGAUAAUGCAUAUAAACUUGAGCUACCUGCAGAUUUUGGGGUUAGUCCCACGUUUAAUAUUGCAGAUUUGAAGCCUUAUUUGGGAGAAGAAGAUGAACUACCGUCGAGGACGACUUCGAUUCAAGAAGGGGAGGAUGAUGAGGACAUCCCAACUAAUGAUACAACCACAGCCCCUACAGCACAUACACCUCAAGUACCGGAGAUACAUGGACCAAUUACUAGAGCUCGUGCACGACAACUAAAUUAUCAGGUACUUUCGUUCCUCGGUACAUCAUUUAAUAUUAAUGAGAACAUGCUGCUGCCUAAGAUGGGUUCUUUUAUGUGUUUUAGGAAUGAAGGACCUAGCUUGCACCUCAAGGAUCAGCGUUGGACAGCAAACCAUGGAGGUGGCAGCAAGGUGGCGGGAGCUAGCUCAAGUGAUGAUUUCAGAACAUUGAAACCGCCAUAACGAGAGAUGAGAAGAAGGCCGCAUCCUCUUCAUCAAUGGGAUUUCGGCCAAGUGGAGGAUUCUCCCUCCAAUGGGUAUCUAUGGGCCAAAGAUGAGGGUUAUAACCUUGGUUUAUUGGGCCUAAGGCCAUGUAAUAGGGUCCAGCCAAUUUUUAGAUGUUUUCGCUGUGUUUUAGGAGGAUUCCUAGGCCGUUUCGGAGUCCCUCAAGGACCUGUCCGAAAACCACCUAGUUCCCCUCCUAUUUAUACCCCAUGUGCCCCCCAUGGAGCCUUGGGUUUUGAUUAGAUAAAGUUUAGCCUUUGCUACUUUCGUGUAAUCGCGUGUGUCGGUUAGACCACCUGUUUUACCGUCAUCAAGACUCCAACUAUAUUGAGUAUUCAGAUUCGUGAACCUUCAUAUCUCCUAUUCGCAAUUUCAGAUUGCUUUUCAUCUUGUUCUUGCUUGUUCUUCGAUUGCUUGCAGGAACAAAGACCUUCGUGGUCAGGUUGAUCGUGCCCCCGCGGGAUCAAUAACCUUCUGGAGUUGGUGUAUCGAUCGGUAAGGCGCUGCCUCCAAGGUUGUAGUCAGAUCGUCAACGUCACCUCCUACCAAAUCGAUAAUUAGGUAUCUCAUCGAAAGAUCGGGACACCCUCGAGGCUAUCACUUGAACUGGACCGAGGCAGGUGAACGUCAACUCUUCGGGCCAGAUUUGAUUCAAGAAGCUGAGGACCAAUGCCGUAUCAUUUGGUAAAAUCUGUUAGCAGCUCAAUCCCGUCGAAAGAGCUACUAUGAUAACAAACACCAAGAGGUGGUGUAUGCUCCUGGUGAGCAGGCGUAUCUUCGUGUCACUCCGAUGCGAGGUACACAUCGUUCCAAUGUGAAAGGCAAGCUUGCGCCUCGUUACAUCGGCCCCUUCAAGGUGAUCGCAAAGCAAGGCGAGGUAGCUUAUCGCCUCGAGCUUCCUCCGAAUCUCACCAGGCUCCAUCAUGUGUUCCAUGUUUCCCAACUCAAACGUUGUUUCAAGGAUCCUGGUCGUGCAGUCGACCAUGAGACCAUCGAGCUCCGCGAAGAUCUCACUUACAAGGAGUCUCCAGUUCGCGUUCUCGAUGUGAAAGAAGGUCGCACUCGCAAUAAAACCCACAAAUUCUACAAGAUCCUUGUGUCUCAUCACUCUGACAAAGAAGCAACAUGGGAACGUGAAGAUCAGUUAAGCAAGGACUAUCCUACCUUUCUUGCGGAUCCCUGAGAAUCUCGGGACGCGAUUCCUUUUGGUGGGGGAGAAUUGUAACAGCCCAAGAGCAACUUUUACAUUUAAGCCCUUGUGUGGACCUGUUUGUAAUAUAAUUCUUGUUGCAUAACAUUUUACAUUUGCAUCCAUGCCAUGUCAUCACUUCUUUGUUUCACAUAAAAUUUGAAAAUUACAUUUUAAGUUGUGGCUUGAAAUCUUGUUGUUUGAAUUUGCUAGAAGAUUCAAAUAUGAAUCAUCCUUCUUUGAGUUGGAAUUCCUUUUCCUAUAUUUUUACCAAUGAUAUUCAAAUGGGUUUUGUUUUAAACCUUUACCCCAUUUGAAUAUUUCCCAAAUAGUAGUACCAUAUUUGAAUUCUCCUACUUCUCAGCUUUUCAAAAUGGUAUUUGAAAUUUGAAUCAAAAACUAUUUGCAAAAGAGAAAACAGAAAAAGGAAAUGGAAAAAGAAAAGAAAAUCUUCCCUUACCUCAGGCCGAGCCGGCCCAGCAGCCGCCUCGGCCCAACUUCUCCCGCCUGCGCGCAGCCCAGCUCUUCCUUUGCGCGCGCCAGCCAGCUCGGCCCAGCGCGGCCCAGCUUCUCCCAGCAUGCCCCGUGUUCCGCCUUCCCGCGUCGAAAACGUAAUCUGGGAAAUACGCUUUGUCUCACAGAGCCUUCUUCCUCCUCCCGCCUCCCUCUGCUUUUUCCUCGUCCUCCACUCAGGUAGUGCCACGUCCUCCCUUUUGACGCGACGGCCUCGGCUGCGCCUCCUAUUUGAGCUGCUCCGCGCCCUCCUCUCAACCCUAGCGCAGGGAAAGCCCUAGAAAGACUUUCCUCCUUCUCCUUCUGUUCGCCGCCGCCAUCUUUUUCCUGGCCGCGAGCGCCUUCACGUCGCGCCGCCGUUCCAGCCCGAACCAAGAAGAACCGUGCACGUCACCUUGUUCGCUCGGAGCUGCUCUUCGGCUGGACGCGAGGAAUCGACCGAAGAUCGCCUACGUCGUCGCCUAGCUCCUCUUCUUCAACUCCGGCCACCGACGGCUCUUCUUCAAAUUCCGGCGACAGUGAGCCUCCCCUCGGACCAUCUCGUGCACGGUGAGCUCCGCCUCGUCGUUGCGCAUCUGUCUCUCACUUCCCCUCCCUCUAGAACUCCCUGUAGCGCUAGGACGACGAGACCACGCCCUGGACGCCGCCGUCGAGCUUCGGCUCCGUGCCGUGCGCGCGUGCAAGAGGGGCUUGUGUGGUGGCCGUCGAGCCACCUUGCCCUUUGUGGAAUUCUCCAAAGGAAAGACCAUGCCCUUACCUGUUGCGCUGCUUGUUUGUGGUCGCCGGCGUCGUGCAAUUCCAUGGCCGCCGCGGCAAGCGCAAGGCAAGCACAAGAUCUGUGCCUUAUGCCAGUGGCUUGCCCCGUUCUGUUCAGAUCCAUGCGACGCGGGUUCGAAUCCUCACGGGCGCGAGAUAAAACCCCAUUUUUGGGAUUUACCGGCCACUAACAUGUGGGCCCCACGGACCCACCUGUCAGCGGCUUGGUCUACGGGCGCGUCCGGUGGAAUGAGUCCACGCGCCUGUGCCGUGUCAGGGCCACGUCAGCGAGCGUGGGUCCACACGUCAGUGCCCAUGGCUAGGACCUGACCGGUGUCUGUUGGUUUUUCUUUUUGGUUUUUGUUUUAAAAUUCCAGAAAUGCUUAAAUCUUGUUUAAUUCCUAGUAAAUGCAUGCUAAAUCCAAAUUGGGCAAACCAUAUAUGUUUUGGAAUCAGAAAAAUGCAAGAAAUUUAACUGUGCAAUUAGAUUUACACUUUGAGGUUUCAAAUUUCAAAUCUGUCCCAGAUUAGAAAUUCAAACAUACGAACAUGUGUAGCUUCUAGUUUAACAUUGGUAAUGAAUUUGAACCUACUGAAAAAAUGUGAAUUAUUACUUGGAACUUGUACUUUAUGACCAUGUUACUGUUUAUCAUAUUUGGGCAAAGUGUAACACUGUUAUCAUUCAUCUUACUAGCUAAUGGAUAAUCUAUUUCUCUAAAUGCCUAGAACUUUUGAUUAAAUUGGAUGCAUCAUUCUAUCACAUACCAUGCAUCCUUGUUUGCGCAUUGCACCCAAUGAAUGCUUAUUCUACCUACCUUGUGUGUUUGGAUCUUAUCGUUAGCGACUCCGACUUACUCAGUCGACGAUGCGGGUUCCCACACUUCUUCGGAUCCCCUCUCUCGGUGCCCAGCGACCGAGAAUCCAGGCAAGCAGCCAUUCCUUGAACAUGUUGAUUAUACCCAAUGCCUCUCUCUCGUUCUUGCAUUAAGUUAUGUUCUCAGUUCUUGUCACGAUGCCUCUAGGAAUUGCAUAGCUUUAGUCAGCUCUACUCAAAUGCAUGUUGUCUUGUUCCUUAUCCUAUUACCAUGUCACAUGUUUGUUAUUGUCCUAGUUGGUCAUUAGAAGUCUUGCUUAGAUGGCUAGUCUAGUGUCCUUACUUGGGGUUAUACACUUGCUACAUCCACAUGCUACUUUCUGUAUUUAAUUGUAAUUAUUAAACUGUGACCUGUUACUACCUGCACAAGGCAACGAUGGGAGGCCGUGCUAACGCAUUGGUGUUUUGUUCCAUUGGCGCCGACCUAAGGACUGAGUUCUCGUUUUCGUCGACCCAAGAAACUUCGCGCUAACCGCUCGUGGGAGAAUAUAUGGGUUCCCCCUCGGCUUAGUACUCGUUUCAUAGCUCUUCCAGGGGCCACAUAGUUCGGGCGUUCCAUUUGGCAUAACGCAUAUACGCUGGUGUUGUGUUUGGAGAUUUGUUGGUACUUUGCAUACAUAUUGGAUUGCAGCACUAGUCUGGAGUGGUCAUUCUGCGGACACUGAACCACUACCAGCUAUCCUCGCAACUCUUGAGUCCGUACGACGCUUCGGUCGGGCUCUCGUUUUGGCUUAGACUCGGUUGGGUGAUCCCCUGGAUUAGUUGUGGGGCCUGGAAACAUCGUGUCGUCCAAUCCUGCCGACACACGUGUUUGUGUGUUCCUACUCGAGUGGCAACAAGGGUUGGACGAACGUGUACGGGUAAAUUGGCACACCCUGCAGGGAUAAAUCUUUCGGAAAGCCGUGUCCGCGUUUAUGGACGACUUGAUUGGUCAUGACUUGAUCAUAGAGAACUCACUCAUUUUAGAUAACUUAAUCUCUUGAACUUGAGUAGUAAUUAGCCUUUAAUCAUGGAUAUGCUUAAAACUGCUUAAGCGUGAGUGCCUUUGGAUCAUUUCCUCACAAGGGGUUGGGGGGGGUGAUAAGAGGUUGUGUUUGCUUGGUGUUAGUUGUUAGAAGAUCACCUCACUUAGUAGAUGCUCCUCAUCCUCUAAUUAGACGAUGUCAUUAGUGUGUCUCUCCAGAUAUAAUGCUGUUGCAUAACCCCACCAUAUUAUCCAUCCUUUGAGACUUGUUGCAUAUAUAGUUUAGAUCUCCCGAAAGUCUUGCGAGUACUUUGUACUCUGUUGCUUUGCAACGUUGUUUUCUCCAGAUUUCCCAGAGGAGCAGGUGAGUGGUUACUUCGUGGAGUUUGACGACGACAGCUUCGACGUUUAGCCAGAAGAUUCCAGAGCAGGGUUCUGUGAACUUGUGGCAGGCUCUCCUUUCAGUUUCAGCCUCUUAGGCAAUAUUUGUAAACUUGUCCGUACUCUGGCCUAAUUUGCUUCCGCUGGUGUAAUGAUGAUUGUGGACAUGUGUCCGUAAGUUGUAAUAACUUUGCAUUUCGCUCCUUGUAUGAGCUUGACUUAAUCUUGUGUCUUAGAAGUGAUGUAAUGAUAUCAUUUUUGUUCCAACCUGCGGUGAAAACAUUGCGUGUAUGUUGUGAAGUGUUCAUCGUAGGGAGGCACUGGGACUUGAUUUAUGCGCGAGUUAGCAUUUGGGGCUAAAUUGCAUAAAUUCAGUCUCGGGGUCUCACAGGUCAGUACCUGUUGCCGGCUCCUCCCCCACUGAGAUUGGAUCAGCGGCGGGCGCCGUGGCGGCAUCGCCGGCUGUAACAUCCCAAAUUUUCAAUUUCGGAUGUUCGCAUCUUUUCAGUUCUUAAAAUUUUGGUGUUCGAUAUGAUGCAUCAUUGAAAGUGUUAGAAAUGGUGUUUUGGAAUGUGUUAGGUUGAUAGAAAUUGAUUUGAGAAUUUUCUAGAAUUUUAAUAAUGCAUUCUAGGAUUUUAUUUGGAUUUAUUUAAAGCUUAAAAACAUUAAAACUAUUUUUAGUCAUUUAUUUUUAAGUGGGAAUAAUUUUCAUGGACUCUAAAUGAAAUAUAUUAUUUUGCGGAAUUUUUGGGAAUAUUUCUGAAGCCAUUUGAUAUUUUAAAUGAUUUAAAUGCAAUUUCGGGUGAAUUAUAGAUCCUGAAAAAUAUUUUAUAAUCUUUUUCCUUUAUUUCUUUUCUUUUUCCCUGGAAUUACGCUUUCUCCGCAGGAAAGCGUAUUCUCGGAGAAGUACGCUUUCUACCCUUCUCUCUCUCUCACUGACAGGUGGGGCCCACCUGUCAUCCCCCACCUCCGGCACCACGCCCACGAUCUCCGCCAAGCGCCGCCUUCGCCGCAACUUCCCGCCAUGCCCGGACGCGCCACCGCCGCUCGCCGCUCGCGCCUGCCCGCAUCUGACCUCGUGCCCGCUUGGGCGCGCGCGCCCGCGACAUCCCGCGCCCAUGCCUGGCUGCGCCAACCGCCGCCGCCGCACGCCCCGCACCCACGACCCCGCGCCCGCGCAACCGCCGGCCACCCCGCGCAUGCGCCUCUGCCCUAUAAAAUCGCCCUCACCUGCACUCGCCCGUGCGCGCUCCCCGCGUGCCUGUGCCCCCAAACUCCGGCCGAACCGCCGUCGCUGCCACCCAAACUCCGACGAGAAAUUGCCGGAGCUGCGCCGACCGAUUCGCGAAGCCGCCGACGCCACUCUUCUUCCCGCGAAGCCGUGAACCUCGUCCAACCCUUCAUCUUCGUCCUCCAGCCUCAAUUCGUGGAGUCAUUCGUCCCAAUUGAGAUUUGGGUAUGAACUUGUUCAAGUUCUCUGAAACUUAUGUUCUUCUGUUAGCCCUGUUCUUGCGUCGAUUGUUAGCAGACCGUUGAUCAUUAUGUGCUCUAGUUUUCACCAUUGUGUAGAGUGAAUGUUUCUCUAUAAUUUCUCUAUAGACAGUAGCCGUAGAUGGUUCAUCUUGAGCACUGCAUCAUCGUCGCAAAAUUGUAUCCUAAGCAGCCUCUCUGCCGUAUCUCUGCCGCGGCAGGAAUUUGCAGCACCAUUCUUAGUGGGUAGCCUUGUUCGUAGUAGUUCUUCUUGUUGUCCGUAGCAUCAUUGUAGUUGAUUAUUUCCAUAGUUUGAACCUUAGGUACACCCCUUCAAAGAAAUUUCCUAGUUGGACCAUUUCAAUUUCACCUUCACUAGCAGCACGACGGUAGAAGUUCAUAUCCUGUACUGUUCUGUUUUCGAGUAGCCACAUUCAUCUGUUCAUAGCUACUGCCUCAUAUCUCCAUAGUUAGUGAAACUAGUGCCAUUUUGAAGAGUAGAUCAUAUUUUUGGAUUCCUUUCUUUAUUUCUCUGUCAUUGGAAUAGUUUAGCACCAGUAGCCUUUCAGUAGAAGUUAGUAUUCUUUGUCUGUCAGAAUCUGACUAGCCACCUUUGCAAGCCAGUAACUUUUGAUCUGUUUAUCCAAUUGACCUGAAACCUGUUGCGUUAGCUAGUACAACCCUAGAACUAUAUUGUAGCAUAUGUUUCAUGCCAUGUUCUGUACUUUAGCACCUUCUACCUAUCAACCCUAGUUGCAAUCUGUUAACAGUAGCAGAUUACUGAAUCUUCAGACUUAGCCACUCUAGCCUUAACCUUAGACUUUAGAACCUUGUUUGUUAAUACUAUGGUAUUACUUAGAUGAUGUUUAGGUUCUGUUUUUGUAUGCUUGUGAUACAUCCUUUAUCCGAAGUUCAUUUGGAGUUAUAUUUGGAUUUUGAGAGAUGUUUGGAACUAUGCAUUUAUUGUUGUUUCGUUCUUCGCGUUAGAUUAUUCGGAUUGCGAUUGCGACGAGUGCCAGGGAGUUGACGACCGCAACAACUUCUCUGAACCAGGCAAGUUACACUUAUUGAUCAUGUAGUACCUAUAAUUUGCUUAAGCUAUCUUGUUUACAAUGUCAUAGGGAUGCAAGUUAGAGUUAUGUCUUUAUGAAGUAUUUAUCAAAUGCGUUUUCAACAUGUUUAGUUAUUCCUAGUAGAUUGCUUAUAGGAUUUUAUUGCCAUGCCACCAAAUACCAUAGGUUAUGUAUUUACAUUUCCCCAAAGCAUGCUAUACUAUUAUAACAGGACGGGACCCAAACUAUAUUGAAAAGUAUUAACUGCUCUUUAUGAGCGAGUAUGUUUUUGGAAAAAUGUUUUCGAAAUAAAACCAAAAUGUUUUAUCUGGAUGGAGUGGUAUGAUAGAGGCCAGUUGGCUGUCGGCAAGUGUUGUAGCCCCGUAACGGGUACACGCUCAGGAGAAGGUGGGGACUGCUGUCCAGAAAUCCAAGAGUUCAAACCUUUUCAUGUACCCCAAGGCUUCUUGUGCAACCACUUGCUAUUAUGGGCUCUGCCUUGGUCGACUAACUAGCGGGAAACCCUUACCUGGGUAUCGCCAUCCGGAGAGGAGCCAAUGUGCUCAUAUGGGGCGGGCGGUGCCAGAAUUAGGUAUCAGGGGGCUUCUAGUGAAAGACUUUGUCACAAUCUUUACCUGUUACGCACGCUUGUCGUCAGGCAACACUUUGGACUGAUUGUGUCAAGUGGGUAAAGUGUACAAACCUCUCGAGAGUGUCAAUCUAAUCGAUUAGCCAUGCCCCUGGUUACGGGCGACUUUGAGUCAUUAAGUCAGGAGAAGUGGAGAUCUUCAAGUUUUGUUUUCAAAAACCCCAAAACUGUUUUGACUCGAUGGAAUGUUCCACAGAAUGACUCAGGGAAAAAGGGAUGCUAUGUGAGUGUCAGUUGACCCAGAGUGCAUAGCUAGGUCGUGGAGUGAACAUCCACAGAAUGACCAUAAUAUUGAUCAAACCCUGUUUUAUCAAAACUUCAGGAUUAGAGAUUUUCAAAAGAAAAUACUGUGAGUAUUUCGAAACUCCAAAAGCAGCAUUUUGCAAAAACAACCCUAUUAGCCAAACCAGGAAAUCCUUCAUCAUUUCCAUGCAUUCCUCCUAACCACACAGGUGUGACUUGCAAGUACAUUCAAUGUACUAACUUGCACCUAUCAUGUGCAGAGAGUGACGCUUAAGAAGAAGACGCAGGGUCACGAGUCUACACUCAACUUGCCUGUGGCGUUGAUGGGACUCCCUCUUUAUCAGUGUGUUUUAUCUGAACUUUCGCUUGGCUUGUAUUAAGUACUCUGGAUUUGUUAUUCGAACCGAUGUAAUAGACAUGUGUAUGGUAUUUCAUCAAUGGAACUGUGUGUGCUAGCAUUUGAUCCAAGGACUAGCACAGUUUACAUAGAGGUCCGGAUCCUUACGGGUCUGGGUCGCCAUACCGGCCCCCGCACCGGCCGGGUCGGUGCUGGUGCCGGCCUGGAUGCGCGUCCCCUUGCUCGGCGCGACGGGCGACGAAUCGGCUCUCCCCCUCUUGCCGGCUCCCGACGGGGUGCCGUCCUUCGGGGGGUUGAGCUUGAACUCGAAGCCCCGGAAGAGCCCCCGCUUAGGCGAGGCCGGGGGUGCCCGAGGGGUUGCCGCGCCCCCGGUCACCGUGGAAGUCGACGCGGCACCGGCGGCCGCCGCAGGCGCCCUUGAUCUUUGCACGAUCAGGGGCGCGUCGUCUUCAACCUCCUCCUCCUCCACCGCGAAAAGGGCCGCUUGGACCUUGGCAACCUAGCCCGCCACGUCGCCGGAGGACUCUAGGUCGGGCCAGCUGAGCUUCGACUCUCCCCCACUCUCCACGAGCGCCUGCUUCCCACGGGUUUCGGGUGGAGGGGGACGUGGGGCCCGGGCAGGGGAGUCGGACAUCAGCCCCCACUCGUUGCAGGGCGGGUAGGAGCUGAUGACCUUGUGCAGCCCCAAGACGUCGGCAUGGAGUGAGGGAGCCCCUGGCGGAAGCUCCGUGACGGGGGCGUCCUCUCCGGUGAUCCCCUUCACCAACGCCUGGAUGGCCUCCGGGGCCAUGUCCCCGUGCUGGAGGCGGGUGGCAUCCCAGGACCCCGUGUACAUCCACGCGGGGCGGGAGCGCAGCUGCAGCGGCGCUAUACGCCGGCCGAUGUGGGUGCGCGCCACGUCGAGGUCGGUGAGCCCCGCUAGCCGCAGGGCCUUGAUCCGCUCGACGAUGGGGAGGAGUCCGGCGUCGCACCUGUAGCGGUUCCACCAGGUGUCGUUGGGCACCGGCAGCUCGGUGGGCGUGAAGAUGAACUCCUCCGGCUCCUCAACGCGGACCUAGCACCAGUCCGCGCGCCACUCCUUCUCGAUCUUUUUCUCCAACCGGACAAUGAACUCUGAUUUCAUCCGGUCGCGGGCGCAGAACACCACCCCCGAAGACAUCGCCCCCGCCUUGUCGUCGCACGGGGCUCCGACAGCGCGGGCGUGCGGCCACGCCCCCUUUUUAGGUUCGGCAGGGGCGUCGGGGAUCGCUCCGGCGAUCGCCGACGUGGCCGAUGGCCUACGUAACCUACAAAGUGAUGCACCCCGGAUGCACGCAAGCUAAGAACACAUGCACGCACGUUUUUACCCAGGUUCGGGCCACCCGGAGGUGUAAAACCCUACGUCCUACCUAUCUGAACUGGUAUUGACUAUAGGUCAAGUGUUUACACGUUGCCGGGGGAAGAGUCCCCGGGCGCUCUCCUUUUGGCUAAGUGCUCUUUACCACUCUAGGGUACUGCUAAUGGCUAAGUGUGAGUGCGCCUACCCGUCAAGUUGUGGAAUCAUGGAACCAUCCAACCGUCGAACCCUUUGACCGUCGGUGGGGGUCCUCCUUUUAUACUGAAGGGGAUACCACAGGUGCAGCGGUGCAUGCAUUACAGGUGUUGAUCAGGGAGACAUGCCACUCCCCCUCGGUGAGCUCGUGGCAUGCAUGGACGCCACCUCCGCUGCUAGGAGUCUAAAACCCUAAAGGUAGGAUUGGACAACCACUGUUCACCUGAUUUGGACGGGUAACGCCCCUCCUGUCGGCUCAUUUAAUGCGCCGUGCACCUCACUCCUCGCCCUGGUGAGACUGCGCACCCGACGCCCGCCACGCGCCCGUGUGGCGCAGUUGCUCUGUCCGCUUGGCCCCACCCUUGCGGCGGGAGCCUGCGCCCAGGAAAUCCUCCUCCCGGCAAGUCGCUCCCCGGGAAGCGCCCAGGCCAAACACACCCGGAAACCCCCCUCCCGGGAAGCGGCUUCCCGAGAGGUGCCCAAGCAGGAAUAUUCCCCGAAGCCCCGCUAGCCCUUCCGGGCUGGUAGCUUGCCGGGCUGCUCGUGGCUGCUGCCCGGGAUGAAAUCCUCUCGGGAACUCGGAGACGGGGCCCACGCGUCGCGCAACGGUGGUACCCCAGGUGCCACUGGUGCGACACGCCUGCUCGACGCGCGGGUAGAAGUAGUGCCGGAAUCAUGCCACCGACGGCAUCACUCCGACGAAUCCCUCACAGAGGAAUUGGAAGACAGCAAGGAGAAAGAGGGAGGUGGGGUGGAGCUGCGCCACCCGGAGCUGGUACGCCUCCAUGAGCGCGUGGAGGAACAGGGAGUACCGAGGCACCAACCCGGUGAGGAUGAAGCGCGCGAACACCCGGAAGUCGUUUUCCUAGUGGUCGCCGCCGGCGGGGAAGAUGAGGGUCUCCCCGUACUCGUUGAAAAGCGAGGCAACAGCGUGCCGGCCCUUGUCCAGUGCCUCACCGUUGUAGCCGGGCCGGAAGAAGGCGCACGUGGCCCUCAGCUCCCUCCUCUUUUGGUCCUUAUCCGAGGCGGGCUUCUAGGGCACCGUCUCGCUCCUGUCGGCUGCAGGCCUCUUGGAGCCUUUCCCUUUCUUGGGAGCGGGGGGCGCCAUGAGAAAUGUGGGCAGAAGCUGGCCGGAGGCAGGGGUGCGAAGAAGAUCGGAGACGAAGGGGAAAAGCUGGGGGGCUAAGUGCUUGCUCCCCAACACAGCAGCGGAGUCUUAUAACGCCCCGGCGCUAAGCAACGGUCGCAUCCGCACCCUACAGGUGCGCUGGGAUAACCAUGCUCCAAAAGGGGGAUAACGCAGGGCGUGGCUUUAACCACCCAUGUUUAAUGGGAAGGUUAGGGCGGAAAUCUCGCGCCCACUACUCUGCCCGUAACGGCAGAGUCCUUGAAGCAGCACAUAAACGGGGCCGAAGCGGCUCGGGACCCACGUGUCGGUUAGGGGCGUCGCCCGGCAACCGACCUGGGAAGAGUCCACCCGGGAACAGGCGUUGCUGGCCCAUGCCCGGGGGCUACUGUCACACCAGUGGCACCCCGGGUACCACCGCUGCAUGACGCGUGGGCCACCUGGGCAGCUCCGCGCAAGCUGCCCGGCAAGUCACCAGCCCGGCAGAGCUAGCGGGGCUUCGGGGGUUGCCUUGUAGGGCAGCAAGAGAAAUCCCGCCUAGGCGCUUCCCGGGAAGGGUGUUCCCGGGCGCAGGCGCGCGUUACAGGAGCGGGACCGAUCGGGCAGGACGGCGACGCCACGUGGCUGCACGGCGGACUCCCUAUGCGCAGGGUUCGUCAGGACAAAGAGUGUAGCACACGCGAGCAUUUAAUGCACCAACAGAAAGGGGAUUCCUCGUCCAGUCAGCCUAUAGUGACUGGCCGGGGUGUAAUUUUUAGGCGCUUAGACCCCUAGUUGCAGGGCUACUCUUUGUGCAAUUAAGCCAGCACACCGAGGGAGAGCUGGGCUAGCUCCCUGCUCGCCAUUUUUCACCCAUGCACCAUGGCACCUAUGGUAUCCCCUUCGGUAUAAAAAGGAGGAUCCCCACCAACGGUCAAAGGGUUCGGUUCAUUCGGAUCCACACUAGCUCCACCCAGGAAAAGCAAAUAACACUUAGCUAAAAAGAGAGAGCACCCAAGGACUCCCCCCGGCAACCUGUAAACCCUUGUUCAUUGGUUAAUAGCAAAACACAGAAGCAGGACGUAGGGUCUUACACCUCAGGGUGGCCCGAACCUGGGUAAACGAUCUCGUGUCUAUUGUGCUCCAACGCUUGGCAUUGGCCUCGCCGGCGAUCGCCUGAGCGACCCCCGCCGCCCACUGCCGAACCUAAAAGAGGGUGCCACGCAUCCCCGGUGUCAAAGCCCCGUGUACAACAGCUAAUGAACUCAAAAGACUCAAGUCUAAGUUUCGGGCCAUGGAUCUGAAUAAAGUUCAUGCUGAGACUAGUCUUAACUAUGUUUCGAUCAAACUUGAGCAUGAUAAUCUGAAGAACUCUUAUGAGGAUCUAAAAUCUAUGAAUCUUGAUCUCAAUGCUAAGUUAGUCAACUUACGUCAAAACAAUGAUUCCUCUGAAGUAUGUUUUAAAUGCAAUUUUUCAUUGAACAACAUUCCUCAAAUCACUACUUCAAAUGCUGUGACUCAAACUGAUUUCCCUGCUUCAAUUGAUUCACCUUAUGUUACUUCUAGCAUUAUUACUUCUAUUGGUAAAUCUUGCAACGCCCCGGCAAUGCGGGGACCGAGCUUACCCCAGCAAACCAGUGUUACCGAAGGGAAAAACCAAGGACCCAAAAUGAGAUACUUAGCUUCUCGUCCUUUUUCGACUUGUUGCACCUUGCUAAGAGCCGUGGCAAGGACGCGGUGGCAGUGCACCCUCCAGCAGCACCCUCGGAGCCGCGGAGGCAUGCACCACCACCGCGUCUUUAUGACGCCUCUCGCUUGUCUCAUCGCCAUUUCUGGUGUCGUUUCGUAAGAGAUGUGGCAGGGCCGCGAUGGUGGGAACACCCUCAGCGACAAGCGUAGAGGGAUGCAGCACCAUCGCCUGUCUGCGACAUCUCUUGCCUUCUUGCCUGUUGCUGGUGUUGCACUUGCCCUGGUCUCCUUAAAUAGCCAAAGCGUUGCUCUUGCCUCCGCACGCCCAGGACCACCAGUCGCCGCGUGGAGGCAUUGGCCCUGUCUCAGUUUCCUGCAUCAAAUCUCGAAGUAAUUGCCAUAUAUGUACAACUUACUUGCAAGACAACGGCACCCAUGACCACACACGAGCAUCAUCACAGUGUGCCUUUGCCUCAUCUCUAUCCUGCAUGUCAGAUUCCUGCAGUGCCCAAGGUACAUAGCAAAAAAAAAUCGAAAUGCACGAAAAACAGUAUAAACUGGAUAACCUCCUGCCUCCCAGCCCCCGGGGAAAGAAGAGUCCACCUCAGACCUGGUUGUGAGCAUAUUUACAUUUCCAUGGUGCCUCGCUGGCACAUAGCACGUUGCCGACGGGUCCGGCAACUGCUAGAACUCGUUCCGGGUCGUCCCGGCAACGAGCUUGGUUUUCCAGGUUCCGGCAGCCCCCUGCUCACAGCCAAGGAUGAGGAGACAAUUCUGUGCACCUAGAGCAGUAAACAGAAGCAUUCACAAACAGCAAAGCACAAUAUUUACCAAUUCAACACUUAUCUUUAUUCAACUUUGUGCUAGCGGAUUACAAUCGGGCCUUGCCCGGCUACACUAGCUUAAAGAGGCACGCUGCCACAGCGUCACCUGUGGGUAAGGCGCCACCAUUUCAUGGGUAGAACUUGCGUAGGUGCUCAAUGUUCCAACUAUUGGGCACCGGCAAGCCUUCUUCGGUUUCUAGCCGGACAGCCCCCGGUUUGGUCACCUGCACUAUCCGAAAAGGGCCUUCCCAGAUUGGAGUCAACUUGUUUCCAGCCUUUGUUACUUAUAUCUGGCGCAGGACGAGGUCACCAACCUCGAGCCCCCGGGGUCAGACUCUCCUGUCAUGAUAACGACGGAGUCCCUGCUGGUAGCUUGCAGCUCGUACAGCAGCCCGGCAUCGAAUCUCCUCGAUGAAGGUAAGGUCAUCAAUCCUCUGCGUGUGUUGGCUCUUGUCGCCGUACGCGCGUACCCGAGGUGACCCAUAAUUGAGCUCGAGGGGCAGCACAGCUUCUGCCCCGUAGACAAGGGCAAAUGGAGUUUGACCCGUCGCCCGACUCGGUGUGGUCCGCAGUGACCACAGCACGGGCUGGAGUUCUUCAACCCAGUGUUUCCCGUGGCCUUUGAGUUUGUCAAAGGUUCUCGUCUUGAGCCCCCGCAGGACCUCUGCGUUUGCUCGCUCAACUUGCCCAUUGCUCCUCGGAUGAGCAACAGAGGCAAAGUGAAUAUUAGUGCCCAUGUCCUCGCAGUAGCUUCGAACACCGCACGAGUGAAUUGCGUGCCGUUGUCGGUGAUAAUGUCGUUAGUCACACUAAACCGACACACAAUGCCCUUGAAGAACUUGAUGGCCACCUGCGCCGUGACGGCUCGGACAGGCUCCACCUCGAUCCACUUCGAGAACUUGUCGAUGGCCACGAGUAAGUACUCGUAGCCGCCAACUGCUCUCGGCAGCUUGCCAACGAUGUCCAGCCCCCAGACCGCGAAUGGCCACGAGGACGGGAUGACUUGCAGGGCUUGCGCAGGUUGGUUGCUCUUCUUGGUGUGAAACUGGCAUGCUUCACAGGUCUUGACUAAUUGUUCGGCAUCGGCUAGUGCUGUCGGCCAGUAGAAGCCAUGCCAGAACGCUUUCCCAGCUAGUGCCCUGGAGGGCACAUGGUGUGAGCAUGCGCCUCGAUGUAUAUCCUCCAGCAAUGUGCGCCCUUCCUCUUGGGGCACGCAGAGGAGCAUGACUCCGUUGGGACGCCUCCGAUAGAGUUCUUCGUCCACCAGGGCGUACAUCUUAGCUUGCCGGGCUACUCGCUCUGCGGCAAUGUCUUCUUCCGGGAGGGUCCCGUCCCUAAGGUAGCGAAUAAUAUCUGUCCCCCAGGGUGGUGGCUCCCGGCUAGUAUAUGCCACAACCUUGGCGGCAUAGUCCCCUGCAGCUGCAAGGUCACCCUGAGUUGCCGGAGGGGCUUCCCCAGCAACUGUCUUGGGGUCGACAGAGGGCUUCGACUGCCUCUGCACGAACACCCCAGGAGGCACCUUGCUGCGUUCCGCUGCCCAUUUGGACAGUUUAUCCGCAACAAAGUUGUCCUUGCGCUUUACGUGCUCAAAUCGAAGUCCUUUGAAUUUGGACUCCAAUUUUCGCACUUCCUCCACGUACGCUGCCAUCUGGGGGCAGUCAUAGUCCUUGUUUACCUGGUUGAUCGCGAGUUGGGAGUCUCCGUGAACAACCAAGCGCUUGAUGUCGAGGGCGAUCGCCGUGCGUAGCCCGGCAAGUUGUCCCUCGUACUCUGCCGUGUUGUUGGUGGAGUUGGCGAAGUCAAGCUGUAUCACGAACUUGAGCUGGUCUCCAGUGGGCGACUCGAUCACCACUCCGGCACCGGCGCUCUGCAAGCAGAAGGGGCCGUCGAAGUACAUGACCCGGUACCCUUCGUCCAAUCUGUCGGGAAGGCUCGCCUCCGGCUCUUCUUCCUCUAUGCUUGUCGAUGUCCACUCCGCGACGAAGUCAAUGAGAGCGGUGCUCUUGAUGCUCUUAGUGUUUGCAAAGCGCAGCCCGAACUCCGCCAACUCCAUUCUCCACUCGGCCACCCUACCGGUGGCUUCACGGUUAGUGAGGGCCCUCUCCAGGCAGAACCCCGACACCACCGUGAUGCCGUGCGCCUGAAAAUAAUGGCGCAGCUUCCUCGAAGCGAGAAGGAUCCCAAGCAAGAGCUUCUGGACCUGCGGGUACCCGUACCUGGGCAUCGCGCAGCACCGUGCUAACAAACUACACGGGGUGCUACACUAGCCGCUUGCGGGGGGCAGCCUGCGUGGGCUGCCCCUCGGGUCUAGGGCAGAGGAGUUAGCCAGGGGUUCCUUCGGCUCGUCGGGAGCCCCCGGCCCUUCCAUCUCAGCCCCCGGGACUUGCUCUUCCCUCUCGGCAACGAGCACGAAGCUUACUACCUGGUCCGUCACAGCUAGGUACAGCAGCAACAGCUCGCCCGUCUUGGGGGCAACGAGGAUCGGCGGCGACUUCAGGUACCUCUUCAAGUUCUGAAACGCCGCUUCCGCCUCGGGAGUCCAAUCUAUUGGACCCUUUUUCUUCAACACCUUGAAGAAAGGCAGGGCUCGCUCGCCCAUCCUUGAGAUGAAACGCCCGAGCGCCGCAACGCAUCUGUUGAGGCGCUGGACGUCUCUAACCUUGCGGGGUGCCUCCAUCUUUUCGAUCGGUUCGAUCUUCUGUGGAUUGGCUUCGAUUCCCAUGUGAGAGACCAAGAAGCCUAGCAAGUGCAACGAGUCCACACCAAACGUGCACUUCUCGGGGUCAAGCUUGAGCUUGAUCCUGUGGAGGUUGUUGAACGUCUCCUGCAGGUCGACGACGAGCGAGUCCCUACGCCGCGAAAUGACGAUGAUAUCGUCCAUGUAGGCCUCGAUGUUCCGGCCUAGCUGGGGUCCCAGACACUCGCGCAAGGCGCGCUGAAAUGUCGAGCCCGCAUUCUUCAACCCGAAAGGCAUGCACGUGUAACAGUAGCAGCCAACCGGGGUGAUGAACGCUGUUUUCUCCUCCUGUUUGACUGCCAUCUUAAUCUGAUGGUAGCCGGAGAAGGCAUCUAUAAAGCACAAAGACUCACAACCCGCUGUAGAAUCUACUAUUUGAUCGAUACAGGGUACAGGGAAGGGGUCCUUUGGACAUGCACGGUUAAGAUCAAUAAAAUCUACACACAUGCGCAAUUUAUUUCCAGCUUUAGGGACUACAAUAGGGUUUGCUAACCAAGUUGGGUACAACACUUCCCUGAUCGCCCCGGCAUUCUUGAGCUUCUCCACUUCCUGCUAGAUGAAGCCCUUGCAAUCUUGUGCUUGCCGGCGAACCUUCUGCUUGACGGGCCGCGCGUCUGGCCGCACCGCCAGCCAAUGCUCGAUCACCUCCCUGGGGACUCCGGGAAGAUCUGACGGCUCCCAAGCGAACACGUCAGAGUUCUCCCGGAGGAAGGCGACGAGGGCGCUUUCCUAUUUGUCACCGAGGCUCGCACCGAUGGAGACGGUGCGUUCCUCAGUGCCGGCAUGUAGGGCACCUUCUUGACCUUGGUGCCCUCCUCCUUCAGCUUCGUGCCCCUGCUUACGCGUGGGCUGGAGCUGGAGCUGCCCCCGGCAUCCUGUACGGGAGAGGCUCGCGCCUUCUUCUGUGCGGGUUGUUCACCCGCAAGUGGAUCCUCGUUCCCGGCAACAUCGUAGUCGUCGGGAUCCGCCACUGUGGAGGUCUUCACGACCUCACCCACGCACCAAGCAGCGUCCUUCAGGUCACACUUGAUGGAGAGAACACCGUACGUUGACGGCAUCGUCAUCACGCCAUAGGCGCAGUGGGUUGCCGCCAUGAACUUGAUCAGCGCUGGCCGACCAAUGAUCCCGUUGUAUGGCAACAGGGUGUGAGCCACAUCAAAAAUGAUGUGCUCAGUCCGGAACGCUUCCCGGGAACCGCAGGUCACCGGGAGCGUGAUUCUCCCCAUGGGCUGCACCACUCCGGGGUUGAUCCCCCGGAACGAGUCGGUGGGCUUCAUCUGAUCCUGGGGCAACUGAAGCUUUUCCACCAAUUUGGCGGACAGCAAGUUAAGGCUUGCCCCACUGUCCACCAGUACCAUGGCCACCGUCACAUUGUUUAUGAUCGGCGACACAACGAGGGGGAGCACCCCUAAACCCAAGGGACGGAUCGGGUGAUCGUCCGAGUUGAAGGUGAUCGGCACAUGCGACCACCUCAACGGCUGCUGCGCCUCUACGUUGGGGAGGAGGGCGCAGACUUCACGUGCGAGCCGCUUCACGGCGGUGUGAGACGUCAGAGCAUACGCUCCCCCGUGGAUGCAGGCAACGUCGCGAGGCUCCUGGAAGCCGGGCUCGUCAGCGUCGGCGUCGCUGUAGACAUCCUCGUGCUGUUGAGCGCGAGGCUUGUCGCAUCCCUGGGGAGGCCGGUCCUUACCGCCGUGGGCCUGACCACGACCCCCCGCGGGUUCUCCUUUGUCGCCGCUGGCCACUCCUCAGCCUGCCCCGCCGCAGGGGUUGUUCGGGCAGUCCCGGGAGAGGUGCCCGAUGUCCCCGCAGUUGAAGCAAGCCCCGGCAGCGCGGCGCUCCUCGGGGCGCUGCUCACGCUUCUCCUUGAUGGUCUGGAUAGUGCGGCAGUCCUGUGCAUCGUGGGUGGCGUUGGUGUGGAUGGGGCAGCGCGCAGCCGCUGCCGGCUUGCUACCCGAUGCCCGCGCCGACGCCGCCUUCUUGGCGGGCCUCUGGGGAGCCCCCGGCUCCGCGACAAGCUCUUGCUUCCCGUCGCGUUUCCGGGAGCUCUUCUUCUCGAAGUCCUCUGGUCGGUUUGCCGUUGCUUUGGCGGCAAGCUCGGGCGCCAAGCACUUGUGCGCGAGAGCGUAGAGAUCCCUUGUGGUCCCGAUCCGGAGCGUGUUGAGCUUCUCACGCAUCUUCGGGUCCCGGACGUUGAUGGCGUACGUGUUGAUGAUGGCAGCCGCCUCCGUCUCAGGGAUGGAGUAGGAGAGGUUGGAGAACCUGUUGGUGAAGUCCUGCAACGUCUCCCCCGGUUUCUGCACGACCGUGUGCAGUUCCGCCAUUGUUCCCGGGCGCUUGUAGCCGCCUUGGAACACGUUCACAAACUGCUCGCGCUGGUCAGCCCAGGAGGCUAUGGACCCGGCGGGCAGGUUGAGAAACCAAAUCCUCGCUGAUCCUUUGAGGACCAUCGAGAACCAGUUGAACCUGACCUUGUCGUCGGCGCCAAUGGCGUGAAUGCCCAACGUGUAGGUCAGGAGAAAGUCCUUGGGGUUCGCGGUCCCGUCGUAUGUCCCAAGCAUCGACGCUCGGAACUUGUGGGGCCACGUCACCCGGCGCAACUCGCGAGUGAACGCGGCGCAGCCGUCCUCGGCGCCCAUGGGAGCAUCUUCCUGCUCCUCUGGGUGCUGGCGUUCUGCUUCACGCCGAUGCCAGCGCUCCAAGCGCUGGCAGAGGUCUUCCUGCUGGCGAAUCUGAGGACCCCACGGGAUCCUCGCCUCCUUGCCCUCCCAGCGGGGGAGGGUGUUCUCCGUGCCCCGAGACGCGGGGCGCGUCUCCGCGUCCCGGGUUCUGCCCCCGGCCUGAACCAGCCGGGGCGCCCUCGCCUUGCGGCUACUGGGCGGCGAGUGCAAGGAGCGCGUCUAGCUCCGCACUCCAUGCUUCAUGCGUCGGCGCGCCUUGCGGUGGCUCGUAGCACACCAUGACACGCGCGGCUAUGAUGGCUUCCGCCGGGGUCUGGGUGGGAGGCUACCGAUUCUCCGGCCGGCUGCCCUCCGCCCUGUCACCCGGUGCCCUCGGGUGAGUGGGGCGAGACUCCGUCGGCGUCGCACGCGACGCGUUGUGCUCAUGGCGCCUUCUUCAUUGUUGUUUCCGGAUUCACUUUGCUUGAUUUCUUCUGGACGAAUAUCACCAAUGGCCAUCUUUUGGAUAUUUCCUGAAAUUUCUUCAAUAUCUACAGACAUUGGCAAUUGCUCUUCUUGGGAGCCGUUAGCUUCAUUGAACUGCACAUACUUAGCAAUUUCAACAACUUUGGUAGUGUUGUUGAAGACUCGAUAAGCAUGUGCAUUCGAGGGAUAACCCAAGAAGAAACCUUCGUCACAUUUAGAAUCAAACUUGGCUCGUUUAUUCUUCUUGUUGAGGAUGUAGCAUUUGCUUCCGAAGACUCUGAAGUAUGAUACAUCGGGCUUGCGGUUGGAGAUGAGCUCGUAAGGAGUUUUCUUCAAAAGUCGAUGAAGAUACAAGCGAUUUGAAGCAUGACAAGCGGUGUUGAUGGCUUCAGCCCAGAAACGGUCAGGAGUCUUGUACUCGUUCAGCAUCGUCCGGGCCAUUUUGGAUCAACGUACGGUUCUUCCUCUCUACCACCCCAUUUUGUUGAGGAACAUGAGGUGCAGAGAACUCGUGCUUCACGCCGUACUCAUCGAGUAAUUCUUCCAUUAGUAGGUUCUUGAAUUCUGUUCCAUUGUCACUUCGCACGCCCUUGAUGGAUACUUCAAACUCAUUUUGGGCUCUUCGUGCAAACUUCUUGAAGAUCUCAACUACUGUGCUCUUAUCAUCCAAAAAGAACACCCAAGUGAAACGUGAAUAAUCAUCAACAAUCACAAGGCCAUAUGAGUUACCUCCUAUACUCAUAUAAGUUGUAGGACCAAAAAGAUCCAUGUGAAGCAGCUCGAGAGGUCUUGAAGUAGACAUGACGUUCUUCAUGGGAUGAAACGCUCCGAUUUGCUUCCCAGCUUGGCACGCACUGCAUAAACGAUAUUUUUCAAAAUAAACGUUCUUCAAGCCUCGGAUGUGUUCGCCUUUGACAAGCUUGUUCAAAUUCUUCAUGCCCACAUGACCGAGUCUUCUAUGCCAGAGCCACCCUAGUGAGGAUUUUGCAACUAGACACGUAGGGGGUGAGUAUGAGGAGUCUUCAAAAUUUACAAGAUAGAGGUUACCCUUUCUUCGCCCUCUGAACACAAAAGAGUUAUCCUUUUCUGAAGUAACAUACACAUAUGGUCUUGUGAAGCAAACGAUUAGUCCAUUAUCACAUAGUUGAGCAACAGAUAGAAGAUUAUAUCCAAGUGAUUCAACAAGAAGUACUUCAUUGAUAGACAGGUCAUUUUCCUUGGAAAUAGCAACUUUGCCAAGACCGAUUACCUUUCCCUAACCAUUGUCACCAAAAGUGAUGUUCUCAUGAUGUUGAGGACCAAGUUCUAAAGAGCUAAACAUUUUCUUCUCACCGGUCAUGUGAUUCAUACAUCUGGAGUCCAUGACCCAUUCUCUUCCUCCGGAUGCAUAUGCCUACGAAGAAAGUUAGGCUCGUUUAGGCACCCAUGUCUUCAUGGGUUCCUGCACAUUAGUAAAACUUGAAGAACACAAGGCAUUACGGAAAAAUGUAACGACAGAUUUUGGCACCCAAAUCUGAGGUUUUGCAUGUUCUCCACGCAUUAUGGUUCCAGUGAAAUUAGCUCUCACUUUAUUAUCCUUACCCAUCUUCAGAAUGUAAGAUUCAUUAACAUGGAAUAUCGGGUAAGCACGUGAAGUAUUGGGCGCUUUGAAGCAUCCUUGCGGGGAUUCAGAUUUCCCACAAAUGGAGAAACCACAGUAUACUUUCCUCUUCCCUAGACAAACUUUGUAGGGGGAUAUUGCUCAGGGAGCCAAGCAUCACCAUUAACAUUGUACUCCCUCUCAAAACCGAUACCAUCUUUGCGUUGGCGAGGAAUUUGAAGACCAAGAAUCUGGUUCAAGGUUUCAGUCCCUUGGUGACACUUGAGGAUACCAGCCUCAAUCUGCUUCUUCAACUUAGCAUUUUCUUCAGCCAGUGAAAGAUCACUAGGUGAAGGGUUAGUGACAACAGAGCAAAAUUCACCAAUAGUAGUAAAGCUAGAAGCAAUAUCGGGUGAAUCAGGGAAAUCAGUUUGAGUCACAGCAUGUGAAGUAGUGAUUUGAGGAAUGUUGUUCAAUGGAGAAUUGCAUUUAGGGCAUACUUCAGAGGAAUCACCGUGUUGAGGUAAGUCGACUAACUUAGCAUUGAGAUCAAUGCUAAGUUCUUCAUUAUCAGUGAUAAGCAUGUUAGUGUUCUUCUUGAUCUCAGUGAUAAGCAGAUCUUCUUGCCUCUCAACGAUGAACUGUAGUCUUUCAUAUGACAUGGGUUCAGAUUCUUCAUUAUCAGUUUCAUCAUUAUCACUAGAGUUUAUUUUUUCACCAGGAGAUGAUACCUUAGAGGAUUUUGCCAUGAAGCAUGAUGGUGAGGAGCGAUCGUCUCCGGAGGCAUCUUCAGAUGAAUCUGCAGAGUCAAACAGUGAAGCCUUCUCUCUGGCAGAUGUAAUAGCUAUGGCCAAUCCGGCGACACCGUCUUCAGACUCAGAGUCAGAUGAUUCUUCAGAUGAUGAAGAAUCUGAGUUCCAUUCACCAACAUGUGCUCUAGAGUAGUACUUCCCUUUCUUCUUGUGAGCAGAGUCCAUUUUCCAAUCCUUCUUCUUGUGACGAUCAUGGUUCUUCUUGUGAGAGUGCUUCUUGAAGCCUUUCUUCUCCUUGUCUUCAUUAGCUUUCUUGGGGCACUCAGCGAUGAAGUGGCCUUUCUUGCCACAGUUGAAACAAGCUCUCUUGGCCAUAUCAGACUUCUUCCAAUGAGCUGAUUUCCGAAACUUGGAGGAGCCUUGAUGCUUCAGUUUGUUUCCAAACUUACUUCCAAACUUCUUAUUGAACCUCUUCACAAAAAGAGCAAGCUCGUCAUUGGAUUCUUCAUCAGAAGAAGACGAUUCUUCAGAUUCUUCACUGGAGCUGACAAUCUUCUUGCACGAUUUCUUGGCCUUGAGUGCAACAUUGUUCUUCUUCGAACUGGAUCCCGAACCAUGGAUCAAUCUCUUUUCUUCUUGGUCAAGUUCAUAGGACACGAUUCUUCCAAGAACCCAGGUGGGAGUCAAUUCCUUGAAGUCUUGCCUAUGCUUGAUCAGCUCACAGACAGUGGUGUACUCCAUGGGAAGAGCUCGAAGAAACCUUCUGUUUUGCAUCAAAUCGGUGAUAUUGUGAUCAUCGAGAGUAUUCAGCUCGUUCACGAUGGUGCUCAUGCGAUCAUAGAGUGAGGAAAUAGUCUCAUUGGGCUCAAGCAUAAGACGAUCAAACUGACUGAUGAGGCGAGUAACUCUAGAAUCUAAUUGCUAAUCUUGUUGAACUCACCAUCACUGACAGUUGAGAAGAUGAUAUCACAAGCUUUGGCAUUUGCUUGAUACUUCUUCAGAGAGAUAGAGUCAUAUCCAGAGAUGGGUCCCUGAGGAACAACAAAGCCAUUUGUGACUGCUUCCCAAGCACAAGGGUCAGUAGAUAUGAUGUGAGUAUUGAUGCGAUUUUUCCAAAAAGCAUAAUUGGUGCUGCUAAGAAUAGGUAGCUUCCCUUCCUUAGACAUACUUCUUCCUCAGGUGGUUAAACCAAAACAAGAAAGCCUUGCUCUGAUACCAAGUGAAAGAUCGAGUAUGUCACAGAGGGGGGGUGAAUGUGACCAGUUUUAAUUCUUUUUUCAAAAUGAAGACUGAAGACAGUCACAGUACUUCAACAAUUAGAUUACACUCAUCAAUUUUAGAGUUGCAGCGGAAAGAAGAAAGAUGAACAGGUUUAGCAGCAACAACGAAGACAGAACACAAUGAAACAGUUAUUCUUCAUAGAGAGCAAAAGUUGAGGAACGAAAUCACCAAGACUGAAGACACAGGGAUUUGUUUCCGAAGUUCAGAUUGUUGGCACAAUCCUACGUCUCCGUUGAGGGGGCUGAGUCACACAAGACUCGCGGACACACAAGUCCACCCAAUCCUCCUGAGCUAAGACCGAAGUAUCGCCCAGUUACUCGUGGUAGAUCUUGAGGUGAUCUUCGGACCUUCAUAGACUGGUUGAUGGCAAAUCACAAUUUUUGAUUGCUCUUCAACACUGACUCCUAGUCGUCUAGGUGAUGCCAAUCACCAAGAGUAACAAGCUUCAAGUGCUCGGCUAGAGAGGGGAUCCCAUUCUUCAUGCUCAGUUCAGCUCUAAGGGUUUUAUCAGGUGUUCUUAAAAACAACUCACUGGGGAUGACCACCGAAUUCCUUCGGGGUGGGUCGUCUUAUAUAGCCUUGGCCACAAUUGAUCUAGCGGUUGUGACCCGUUGGAUAAAGUGAACUUUGAGCCUCCAACUCACACUCUAUCACUUUGUCUCACAACGGUUAGAUUAGGUGGUCAAGCAUGAAAGCAACAGAUUUUCAAACACAUUUGAACUCAGAGUGAAGACUUCACGCGGAAGUUUCUGUGAGCCUGAAAUGCUUCAUUCUUCACUCCGACGAAAAACACUCACACAGAAAAUGGUUUUCGCCUAAGCUGAACAUGAAGAAUAGGUUUCACCUAUACCAGCUCCACACUUCAAAUCCCCCUUAAUAGUAUGGCGUUCCUAUACUCAAGUGAAGGAAAACGCUACGGAAAGACUUAUGAAGAAUGCUAUGCUUCACGUUCUUCACCGUUUUUCACUGAGUUCUUCAUACUUCGCGCCAGUACCUGUACUUCAAUUUUUAGGGGUCAUCGAUGCUGGUUAAACCAACUCUUCUGAGGAACUAAAACCUGAAACAUUCCGUGUAACUCAUUAGUUCCUCAACCAUGUUGUCAUCAUUCAUCAAAACCCAUACAGGGGCAAGGUUUCCCUUUCAAUGGUCAAAGGGUGAAAUGAGCUAGAAUAGGGGGCAAGAAAGGUGUGGGGAUGAGGCUUUUGCUCCAUGGUGGAACAUGGACCAACCCUCAUUUUCUCCCAUAUGGUGCACACCAAAGCUGUGGACCAAGGAGCUACUUUUACCAUUUUGCCCCCACUUUUCUCUCUCCCUCAAGGGUAGCCAUGGUCUUUUGUCAUGAACCCCUAGGCUAUAAAUACCCCAUGGGGGCAUGUAUCAUUCACUCUCAACUUGAAUAAACUCAAGGGGAGAGGGUUAGAGUGCUCCCUCUAAGGUUCGCUCUCGAGCUCCGCUUUCGACUAAAAGUCGACCAGCCUCGAGGAAGCCUUCUAGGGGACUCUAGUUUCGAGGGUCCGAGCUAACCUUGGUUAGCACGGGCUCGAAGGAGAAGGGGUUGGGUUAGAGUUCCGAGGGUAUCCUAACUCGAUACUUGGAAAGACGAGUUCGGUCCAAGUACGAGCCGGCCCCGAUGAAUCUCUUGCUAAAGAUGUCUUGGGAAGAUCCGCUCGGCCCAAGCACUUGGCUAACAACCCCCUCGAAGCUUUUCCUAAGAUAGGAUUAAGUCGUACCCGCAGGGUCGACCAAACCUAUUCAAAAAAUAUCCAUGUGUCAACUUGUCCAAGUGUACGACGACCUUCGCUAUAAAGCCAGCGUACAUACACUACUUUUACACUCGCACUUGUGCCAUCAAGUCUUGGCACCGCUUACUCUAAUUGUUGUCGAGAACAACAACACUCCAGAUUUUUCUGCACGGCCAGUUCUUGUGCUCUACUCAGAAUAGACUUUCCAUCUUGAGCAAUUCUUGCACUCUGCCGUGCAGCAACAACAGGGCCCCACUUGUGUUUCUUGACGUUUUUCUUUUUUGCUUCAGCUGGUGUUGGGAAAUCUUCCUUGAAAGUGUUGAUCUUCAGCAGAUUGAAGGCCACUGGUUGCACACAGUUGUCCUGCCAUAUUACAUAUGAAACAGACCUUAGGUUGCACACAGUUGACUACAUAAUGCCUAGGACCACCACAAUUGUAACAAAUGAGGUCUCUGUACUUGGGAUCCAUAGGUUGGAUCUGCUCUGCUUCAGCAUUCUUCUGUCUGUUGUAUCUAUUAGCUGCACGUUGCCCUGUCUUCUGCUGUCGAAGCUGGGUUGUUUUUUGUGAAGCCUUUUCUCCUGUCUGUGUUGGGUUUUGUUGAACAUCUUUUUGUAACUGCAUCAUGAAGGGCCCUGAGAAUUGGAUGUUUGUUCUGUCACAGGUGCCUGACUGGUAACUUGAGCUUGCACCUGUUGUUCCAGUUGAGCAGUAGGGGAAGCCCCUGUGUCUGCAGUCCCGGACCUGAGAUUUCAAGGACCCGGUGCAAAACUAGGAUUUGGGGCCUUAAUAACGCUAACUGAUGUAUAUAUAUAUAUAUAAAAAUUACCUACAAAACUAACAAUGAAUCAAAAAGUUUAUACAUAUUAUCUUUAAAAAAUUCUAGCAACGAAUCAAAGUUACAUUUUACGAGUCACAAUCUCAAUCUCGUCCACCAAUUUCUUUUCAAUGCAUAAAGUUACCAUACCAUUUAACAUCUUUUGAGACAUUGUAGACCUUAAAUAUUCCUUCAACAGUUUUAACUCUGAAAAAUUUCUUUCAGCUAAUGCCAUAGCCAUAAGAUUCUGAUAAGUAAUAGAAGAAUUAGGAUAGCAUUCUUCGUAGUUCUCAAAAUUAACAGACUAGAUAAAUUCACAAAUUGAAAACUAGUUAAAGAAUUAAAGACUGAAGAUGGCUGUAUAAGAUAGAUGCUCACACUUGUCGGUCCCGUAAUUCCGUUGUCUGGCGAUGCAGCCUAGCCAAUCAAGGGAGGCGAUGUAGCAGGCAGCAGCAGAACUAGCUUGGGAAGAGGUGAAACCGCGGGCGCAGCGUGGGCGGCAGGCCAGAACUGACUACUGAGAGCGGCCGCGGCGUCGUGGCGAUCAGGCGGGAUCUCAGGGCAGGGCCAUUCAAGACAAUCUCGUGGACAGCGGCGCCAGCGAUAUGGAAUUGGAAACGAUCGUCAGUCUCAAGUACAGCAGCGCCAGCGAAUCUGGAAUUGGGCGAUCAGGACUCAACCGGCCACUCGGGACGAUCAUGGAUGGAAUUGGAAGUUAGAAAGAGUCUUGCGCCAGCCAAUUAUGAAUACCCAGGCCUAGGGUUAGGGGCCUCCGAAAAUUUGAGGCCGAGUGCGGGGGCACCGCCUGCAACACCCCAGGGCCGGGCCUGUGUGUCUGGAUAGUCUGGAAUGUCUGAGGCUUGCUGGUUGCGUCCCUCGUACGUCCUCAACCCCCGCGUCCUCUCCACGCACGCGUUGUUCUGCUUGACGCCUGCGACGGUCCAGCGGCUCCAGCCCUCUCCACCCAAACCCGCAUCGCCCCUCCUCCUCCACCUCCAAAAUUUCCUCGAGCGGUUCCAAGCCCCCCGAUCCCCCGAUUCCCCAAAAUUCACAUCUCCCCCGUGUGGGCGCCGAGCCAGCGGUUCCAACCCCCAAUUCUUGUCAGAGCAGCGGCGGCGUGGGUCAUGGAAAGGGACGAACAAUUCCGGAUCGGAGGAGGGAGCGAGAGAUGGGGAAGAUCCAGUAGGCGGUGGUGGCGCGGGGACGCGACGGUGCUGGUGGAGCACAACGGCACGGGAAGGAACAAAGGAUUGGCCUGUAUAUAUAGUUCGUGGGGUCGUUGCCGCUCGCAGUCGCUGCGGCCCCCGUGGCGGCUGGCUACGGCAUUGCCCUCCGCCUAGGCGGUAGGCGGCAGCUGCCGGGCGGUCGCGGGCCCGGCCAUGCUCGGGGCAGCCAGCGUCGCGGGGGCUGCACAACUACGUCGCCGGCUGCGACGACCCCACCAAGCUGCAGACAAGCGUCAGCGAGGUGGAGGCCAUCGCAAGCAAGUGAGUUUGGAUUGCCCUGUAUAGUUGAUGCGUUCGUUUCAGGUUUGCAUCGUUUCCGGUUAUUUACUUGGAACUCUAAUUUGUCGUUUGGUGCUAGCAAAUUUCUGGUGUAUGCUUUCUCAGUAAAAGAUGGUACUCCCUCCGUCCCAUAAAGACGGUUUUGAACUAGCUCUGGUCCAAACCCGUGCCAAUUUUUAUGGAACGGAGGGAGUAAAUAUUUUGUUAUGGUGAUGCAGCCCGAAUAAUCACACCUGUUAAAACUGUGCACUGGAGAAUUGGAUGCAUUUCCGACUCUCUUAUCCUUUUAUUUUAUCUUAGGUGUGGACUUAUAGUAGUUAGUACACAAGAUGCAGCCUUCAAAGUUCAAAGGAGAUCUCUGUGAGUUGUAUGCCAGGUGAGUAUCGCUGCCCUUGCGGUCUGCAUUUGUUUCCCAUGACUGUGAACAUGGCUAUAUGCACACAGAAUGACCAAAUAAGUAUUGACUUCUAUGUUCAGUGGUAAUUGUAUAGCGAACUAAUCAUAUGUGUUCUAGGUGCCAAGUUGUCCUGGUUAUCCGGUAUCCUACAUGGCUACACCUCUCUUAGCAAUCACCCCCUCCUAACCUAAGAAGGAGUCAGUUUUGACAUCUUAUACGUCAACAUGCAAAGUUAUUAUUAUAAUAUUUCUGUAAAUGCACAGAUCUAUGCUAUUUUGGAAAUACUUUGAUAUCCAGUCAUAUCAUUUAAUAUUUCUGUAAUCUACACAGUUGAAAGAUUUUGCCAGUCCAAGUGAGAAGGAUUUAACUGAACAUUUCUCAUAUGAUUCUUUUUUUUUCCAGAAUUUUGAACUUCUGGGACAUUAAGUUUACUCGGUCCGUGAAUGUCUUACUAUCUUUUUAGCAAGCACCUAUAAAUUGCCCAUGUCGAACCUUCAAUCUUUAGAGAACUGAUACUAUCUACGACCUUGCAGUUCUGUAGUUUGAUAUUUGCUGUGAUUUACCCUCCUGAACAUCAGUCAUUAGCUGAAAAUUCAUAGGAAAUUCAUGACAAGUUUUACCGUCCCCUUAUUUAGUUAUUAUCUCAAUACAAUUGACCAGUGCCAAAAUGAUUCUGUUCCCUCAAUCAUGUCUGUUGUUCUCUGAAAAUUCAUACAGCAGUCAGCAGUCCAAUUAAUAUAAACAAAUAUAUUUACUGCUGGUUUUUGGUUGUUCGCCUUUGUUGAAGCUGCUAUAAGAAUGAGCCAUGCAGAUGCAUUUCUUCUUAGCGUAAUUAAUACGUCAUACGUCAGCAAUAUGUAUUUGUUUUAUUCUGAUUUUCCAAGAUCAUUCCAGGAUUUUACCUCCUUGCCAAAGUAGAAGAGGCUGCAGACAAACCUAUUUAUAGGUGGACCCAUCAGAUUGUUAGUGGCCAUACUCUUAAGCAUCUAUGUGCUGCAAAAGAUGUGUAUAGUACAUAAACAAGGUUUCAAGGGUUAAAAUCAAUUGUGGUGCCACAUUUUAUUCUUAGUACAGCAAGUCCAAAUUGUGUGAGCUUUUUUUUUCUGCAAAUUAACGGACCAGCAAGUAUUAUAAUUGUGCUGAGUGCUGACCACUCCACCCCCAAAUGAACCGAAGACAUGCAUACAGAUUUCCCAAAUAGAUUUUUAGAAUUUGUGAUAUAAUGCCAUGCUUCUAAACUUGGGACAAUAAAUAAUAGAGUUGUGUCCUGUUUUAACAAAGGUAUGUUUGAUUAAUCAUACACAAACCAGUUAAUCUUUUAUUUGGAUGCUAAUUUGCUUUUUAUUGAAAGAGCAUUCUUUCUAUCCUUUUGUCCACUACCGGCUAACCUCUUGCCUAAUUUGGUGGACUCUACAUGAGUAUUUUCCCCUUAUUUCAGAAUAUAGACUGUCUUCUUUUUUUGGAUUGUUCCCACCUGGUGGUGGCAAAGCUAUUCGUUGCUGCCUGAAGGUAUGCUUCUGCACCUAACAUGUAUUGCUCGUGGUGUGUAAAUGGUCUAUUCCGGUUCCAAACUAACUAUGGAUCUAAUGAUGAGGGAUAGAAAAAUUCAUGACCAACUUGUGAUGUCUGGAAUUCUGUUCAUAACCUGAAUCUGUCAACAGCCACCUAUGUUUUUCCAGUGUAUCGGUGAUCUGUAGUUUUGUACUAAGGUGAGCAGGAUACAACCAAGAGAUGAUGUGUGCUUCUAGCCUAAACUCAAUAUGGAUAUUUAGUCCUGUUACUUGGUUUGGGAGAUCCAUGGCUGAUAACGAAGUGCGGUUUUGAUUUCAAAAUUUACCGCACACAAGUCAACAUUGCCUUCGAUAGUAGUGUACAAAUAGAAGUUCAGAAGUCCUCCAAUUUUUUGUUUAUGCUCUUCGGAGAUCAGUUGAAUAAGAAGUACUUAGGUGUCCUGUACCAUUUGGGCAUGACUUUAAAUUUAGGUGAACUCAGUCAGCUGCUUGAAUAUAGAAAAUCUACUAAACGGGGUUUGCAUCUGAUAUUCGCAAACUUCCUCGUGCCUAUUUAAUAACUGAAGAUCGACAAUUAGUAUGCUUUAAUUUAUAAUAAAGUUUGUUAUCAUUGUGUCUUAAAAUGGUUUUAACUAUCACUUGUUUAAUCUUGUGAACAACUUUGGUUCAAAAUGCUUGGACAUGUGCAGUCAAGGGGGUUGGUCUCAGGAAGAGUGAAGGACAAACCGGAGGAGGGAAUCAUCACUAUGUAAUGCUGAAGACAUUGCAGUUGAAGUUGACGCUCUAUUGUAGGUUGGGUGUGUGUUGUAGUUUUUUUAAAAGGUUGGAGGUGUGUUGUAGAACGCGCCGGAGGUUGCAUGGGGCUCGUUGGAGAGAUACAAUCGAAAAUCACACGGGCAUUGCACCCAACGCUUGUAUUCAUGAACUGAAGCAAAUGAGACAUGAUAUUAGUUUUUCCAUUAGCAGCAAUAAUUUUGAUGUCUCCACAAUCUAUUGUUGUACUGUAGCAACGCACGGGCACUUAACUAGUUUUACAAAAAGUACGUGGGACCCGUCUACAUGGCUUCUCAACACGCGAACCAAGCACAUGGAUCCUAUUCUUGUGCCAAGUCAAUUUUUGAAGUUUAAUCAUAGAAGAAUCUACUCCCUCUAACCCAUACUAAAUCUGCGACAAAUAAUAUGGGUCAGAAGGAGUAGCAAAGUUUAAUGAUACCUAAUAUAUAUAUUAUGUAUUGUGAAAAGAAGUGAUUAUUAUUUUAAAGUGCUUAUGUAGUUUUCAUUCUUUCUACAGCAAAGCGUCGUGCGGUAUUUUUGCUCUUUAUUUCGAAAAUACGAGUGCAUGAAAAUUUCUAACUAAAAAACGAAAAUAAAGAAACGAAGGAAGCUCAAGCUCAGGGACGCGGCUUGCCUGUACCCCUAGUUUGUUCCCAUCCGUGCUUCCCAUCCUACAUCUACGAUUGAACGGCUACUCUUUUUUUGGGCCCAUCUUUAUUUCCCCCAACUAAUCUGCCAGGAUAUUCGACUCUGCCUCUUCUUCGUUCUUCUGUCUCACAUAGCCGUUCUCGCCAUCUCCGGCCGCAGCCACGGCCGCGCCAUACUCGAAGGAAAACCUCUAUUUUCUAUGGCAGACGCACCCUUUCCUGCCGCUGCUGACGACAUUUCGAGCCUGUUUGCUUUGAGCCUCAACUAGCCCUACCAAAUUUUUGGCAUGACCAAAAUUUUGGUGUGUUGUAGUUGUUUGGAUUACAACCAUAUUAGCUACCAAUAGUUUUUGGCAAAAUGGGGCCUCUGUUUGGUUUGCAGCUAAUUUAGUUAUCAAACUUUCAAGGACCUAAGUUCAGUUUGAUCAAAAUGGGGCCUCUGUGUGGUAAGCUAAAACGGAUUUUAACGUGUCUUGUCAUCACGAAAUGAUCAUCAUCAUUUCGAAAUUCUACGUGUCUCCAAAAUUUUCUUGCUUCAUCAUUUCUUGCUAACAAGAUAACAAUAAGUAGUAUUCCUGCUAAUAAGGUGAUGCAUGUCCAUCGCGCAAGUAAGUACGAGUAGUACCUUUUUCCUGAUCCGUACUUUUUUAACCUUUUUUCCUGAUGCAUGUCAGUUACUCAGAGAGAAUAGAAAUUAUAAAAGAAAGAGAGGAGCGAACGAGGCAUUUGGCGGCCAAUUCCCGGGCGAAGAAUUUCAUCGCCCUCAACUCCAACGCAUCGGCAAAAUUUGCACGAGCAGGCCCAGGCGGAGCGGGGCAAACCAAACAGCAGCCAAAAGACAUGGGCGUGCCAAAUUAUUGUUAAGGCUAACAUUGGCUCAAAAGCAAACAGGCCCUUCCUUCCGCCGCCACACCACCUCGUAAUGUCGUCGGCUGUACCACCGACGGAUCGACGCCUUGAAGCGGAGUGACUAGCUGGAGGUCCGGAAAAUUUCCUGUGCCCAAUUCUUUUGAAGCUCCACGCGGAGACCGGCGGGUGGUACAGGGCAGCGAGAGGGACGUCCGCCGGCAUGCCCAGCCACGCGAAAUACUUCAUGCUCGUGGUCUUCCGCAUCGCCGAGAAAGAAUAACUUGCUGCAUAACAAAAAAGUAGUUAUGUAAUCGCAAAAUCUCCAUCUGUGCACGCGCCAUAUGAAUGUCAUAUUAGUACUUGUUCUUGCUGACUUGCUGGAGAUAUGAGAUAUCAAGCAUGAUCUUGCUUUGGUGCCUUGUACUGUUGUACACAAAGACGGUGAUGGGCUGAAGGCAGAACGACGUCUUCUCUCGCGGACGGCGGCGGCACGCCGGCACCCUGCACCAAGGUUUCCACUGUUCAUCGCCUGGUGUUUGGAUUGCGGCAUGGCAGUUAGACGGAGAAGAAAGGGGCACGCAUGAGAACAGGGAGACAGGUGUGCCUAAGACAAAAGGGUUAAUUGAAUCUAUGUCACUCGAUCUCUAUUUCACCGGUUGAAAAUAUGCCAUUACAAAAACUUAACUUGUAGAAAUGGCACUUUAACUUUUUUAUACAUCUAACUGUGCCAUUCUAUCCACUUAAGACCAAUUACUGUUCACAAAAUACAUGUAUUUCAUCGUGUACAGCAAUACCUGCCUCCACUUUUUCUAGGGUUUGUUAGGGUCAGGAUAGAGGAGCGCGAGGGGGACAAUAAGAGGAAGAGGAAUAGAACUGUUUGACUUGGUAUGGAAAAAAACUGUUCGUAUAAAUCUAUGUAUAUACGUAUUUAAACAGUAUACAUGAUGGUAUUGGACAAAAUGGCAUGGUCAGAGAUAUAAGAAAGUUAGAGUGGUAUUUCUCCAAAUCAAGUUUUUUAAUGGCAUAUCUCCAACCGGUGAAAAUUAUAAUGGCAUAAAUCCAAUUAACCCAAGACAAAAUCGAUGGUUAAUGAACGAAGGGGAACACCGAUGGGAACAUAUUUACAGCAUGUAUAAUGCAAGGUGCUUAAAUGGGUGCUGCGAAAAUUAACCAAGCAUCAUCUUAAGCACCGAUGCUUAAAAAAACCGGGUUUUUUUCUGAACACCUGACUAAGCAUCUUGCAUUGGACAUGCUCUAAGAACAACUCUAGCAUUCAAUGUUUUUCGGUUCCAUUUUUACCCGGCCAGAACACAAUCCGAAAACUGACCCGGAAACGUGGUAUUCUGUAACUGUUCUGUCCGAGUCCCCCGCAAAACUACCGAAACUAAAAACGACAGUUCGUCACAUAAAAAUCGGCAGUUCGACGGCUCAUCCAAAUAGGCACGCACAUAAACCAAAUUCGAUCAGAAUUCGCACCCAUACAGACAAAAUUCGUCUGAAAUUCACACACACUGAGCAACUGAAGCGAACGGGCCGCGCGAGUAGCGGCGGCGCGGGCAGGGGCGGAGGGGCAGCACCGAGCAGAGGUGGGCGCGGGCAGGGGCGGCGCGCAGGGGCGAGCAGCGGCAUCGACGCUAUGGGCAGGGGCGGCGGCGCGGCCAUGGGCGCGAGCAGGGGCGGGCGCGGCCAUGGGGGAAGUUCCUGGAGGUUCGCGGGAGGAGGCGAAGGCAGGAUGCGGUGCGGGGGCGUGGGCGUGGGCUUGCCCCUUGCAGGCGGAGGUGACGACCAAGGGCGCUGGAUCUGGAGUUUCGCAGGGCGCAACGGCACGGGGACAGGGCCGGCGGCUUGCGCAGGGCAGGGGCAGCGCCGCGCGCACGGGGAGCAGCAGGCGGUAGCGGCCAGGGGAGGGGGCGGGAGCAGGGCCGGCGGCGGUGGCGGCCAGAGGCGAGAGGUUGAAGAUGAAGCGGAGUCGGGCGGAAAUAAAACGCGCGGGUGAACUCGAACGUAUUCUACGAGAUCGGUGAGGAACUAAAAACGGAUUCAUGUCCUGAUUGUCGAGGGAUUUUUCGCUAAAAAAAAAUUUGGGUUAGGAUUCAUUUUUUAUCUACUCGGGGUCUUUUUUCCACCGAAACCGAAAAGUUUCGGAUCGGAGUGGUAUUCAGUAUCUUCUAGAAAUGCUUUAAGGGCAUGUACAAGGACACUAAGCAAACACUUGUCACCCGUCCGUUUUUGUCCGUGGAUAAAAAGUUGCAAUCCAAUGGGACUAGCCAAACACUUUCCUUCCGUCCGUUUGUCUGCCGACAUGCCAAACCCAAGCCAAAUUUGACCUGGCUUUGGCAACCUGGACAUUGUUCGCGGACAACACCACAUCAGCAUAUUUGGUGAAGAAAAAAAAGGAAAAGGAAAAUCGGCUGCUAAUUUUUGCCUUUCUACUCGCGCGGCAACUGUGACUGGACAAUGUCGGCGGACAAGUGUGGUAUUGCCUUCUACCUCCUCCUCUCCAGCGCCCCCUCCACCUCGCCGCCGCCCGCCGUCGCCCCACCCACGCGCCACCGAUGAUGCACCGCAUGAUUUGUGCUCAUUUUGGUACUAUGUCAUUGAAAUAUUUGAACUUUGUCAUUUGAGACAUUUGGACCAUGUCAUUUUAAUUAAUUUGCACUGUACUAUUUAUUGUUGCAUUGAUAUUGUUGAAUACAUGAUUGUUUGGUAAUAGAAUUUGUUGUGAAAUAGGUGUGGACAAUCUGUAUGGCGGGCAUUUAGUUUGUGUCCAUUGGGAGAAGUGGUAAAUAAACACUUGCCAAAUGGUCCGGACGGUGGACAAACGGACAGAUGACAUGUCCAUUUAGCUAGUCACCCUUGGAGAUGCCCUAAGAGCAUCUCCAACAGGUUCCCUAAAUCCGGUUCCCUAAAACCAGUUUUAGGCAUAGGAGAGAAAAAAAGUUUUGAGAAAUUGUACUCAUCUCCAGCAGCUUUUCUAAAAGCGAUUCCCUAUAAUAUUUUCCCCAUCCCACUGACCGUGCGGUCCCAUCUGUCAGCCACCCCGAGAUUUGUUGGCAGUCUUCUUCCUCCUCGUGCCCUCCCUUCUGCUUGCUCUAGCACCCCGACCCCCCUACCUGAUAUAGGUGUGGCCCGAUCUUUCGAUGAGAUUAGUAACUCUUAAUUUGGGUAGGAGAUGACGUUGACGAUCCGACUACGGCCUAAGAAGCAGCGCCUUAGCAAUCGAUACACCAACUCCAGAGGGUUAUUGAUCACGCGGGGGCACGAUCAACCUGACCAUGAAGGUCUUUGUUCCUGCAAGCAAUCGAAAAACAAGCAAGAACAAGAUAAAUAGCAGAUACAAUCUGAAAUUGCGAGUAUACUAUAUCAAACUAAUGUCUCAACGAGACGAUAAAUUGGGGUUCUGAAAGCGGUAAAACAGGUGGUCUAACUGACACACGCGAUUACACGAAGUAGUAGCGAUGGCUAACUUUUAACUAAACAAAAUCCAAGACUCCUUAGGGGGCUCGUGGGGUAUAUAAAGGAGGAGGGAGAGAGAUUUUCGUCCACCUUGAGUAAGGAGGCCGAAAUCCAACUAUAUCUCUAACUUCCGUAACAAACUACAACUCUUUAG